CUUGACCGCAAACAAGCAAAAUCCAGACAGACAGGCUCCCGUCCGGACUCUCUCUCUCCUCUAUAAGAACCCCGUGGCGGUAGAGCGCUGCAGUCAUCCGAUUGAUUCUCCUGCUCCUCCACCUCCUUCACCCAACAAGUGUUGUGUUGCUCGCGGAGUGACUAGCUUACCGUUCUUUCAUUCUCUCUUGCGCGGAUCGUUUGGUUGCAUUCAUUCGUCGAUCGCAGGCUCAGAGUCCGAAUUCCAACAAUGGCAGCGGGUCACGGUGUUUCUGUGCAGAGGAUGGGCAGGUCGCGGAGGGCUGCCCCCAGACGAGGCCAGGUGAAGGCUGCCAUAGCCCUCUCCCUGCUGCAUUCCCUUUCGUCCGCUGUCCUGAGGACUCGCUCCGCGGUGUCCCGCUCCCGCCGGCCGUUCUCGUGGCACAGCAGCUGAGGCGCGGGCGAGGCGACCCGUGCGUGGUCGCGCUGAGCGAUGGUAAUUGGAAUUUGAAUGGAACGGCCACACCACAGGUAUGGCGAUCGCGGGGCGCUUCUCCGGCAGAGCGCACCCGAAAUGGGGACCCCGCCGCCUGUCGCGGCGCCAGCUCCAGCGCGUCGUGUUUCACGUCAUGUUUACACGUCGAGGUUUGCUCGGAACAGGAUGCGCGACGAGUCCGAGCGUCCGUCGGACGGGGUUCGACACAUUUUUCGUAGGCAUUCGAUGCAGGGAAGAGGGGAUUGGGGAUUGGUUGAUUGAGAACCAAGGAAGCGUGGUGCGCGACCCCAUGAGCAGGAGUACGUCCCGAUGAUGGGGGUGGGAGGGCCCCGGGAGGGGCUUCACUGUCGACUCGACGGUCGCCUUGUGUGCGUCACGCUUGCCGUGCUAGGUGUUUAGACAUAAUUGCUUGGCAUCAUCGUGCCAAGUUCGUGAGCAAGAUCGACCCGCAGUCGAUCAUUGAGUGUGCCAUACGCUGUACAUUGCUGUACGUAUUUUUGUGAAAUGAAAACACGGUCCGGGAUUUGAAUGCAAGAGACUUGGGUAUGGAUGAGGCAUAUUCCUGGUGUAUUGGAGUUUGAUGGUGGUUGCAGUAUUGGAGUCCGAUGUGCUGUGUCUUGCAUGAUCCGGGUCCCAUAUGGACAAGCACACUGCAUGUGGAUGGCAAGUCGUGUGGAUUGAGUCGCAUUUGAGUGAUCCGGAGUACAGACGCGUUAUUGGGGAGUUGAUGUUUAACGAGUUUGGUAUAGUAAUUAACAACAAACUGAGUCACAAUCAACUUUUUUUUUGGUUCACAGAGCCGAUGAAGGUUUUUGUUUACUUUGAAGUAGAAAUUUAAUGAACACUUGGUUUUCUUUUUCUUUUUCAAACCAGUUUGGAUAUCACAUAUUCUGAUGAGUCUCUUUGUUGAGUGCAAUCCUUUCCGAUGUUAGCAUGGUUUGGAUUGUCGUUUUUAUGUGAGUUAGAUCUUUUACAUUGUGCACAAAUAUGGUGUCUGUGUCUGGCCAGUAAAAUCAGUGAUUUUCUGUGGUUGGUAGGUCAAAUGGUGCCAAUAGAAAUGGAUUGGGGUAUUGGAUGUGGUUGCUAGGAUUUGUAAGUGUUAGAUGCAAUUGAUUGGAAGUAAAUGAUCCUUGUUGACUUUCUCAUUUACGUACUCAUUCCCCCCUCUCAUCUUCUAUAUAGAAAAGGGCCCCAAAUGAGCAAAUGCUUGUGAUGGAGGGAAUGUGGUGUAGGGCAAGAGCAGGAUCAGCGGACGGCUGGAAGCUAAUGUAGAGUGAGGAUGUUGGUGUUGCAUGUACUCCGCAUUCUCGAGGUUUACGGGUGAAGUGGUGGGAGGUGUAAAAGGCGCUGGAUUUCAUGCAGCCGAGGAUGAGGUGUAGUACGAAUGGUACAGUUUUGGACGGUAUCGAGUUCGACAGUGGAGGUUUGAAGUUGCUGUCAAUGUCUUGGGCUGUCGGGGCAAGCACGGGUAUGUGAGGGAAGGGGUUGACAUAGAAUUACAAGAUGUGACAUGAAAGUAGUGUUUUUUUAUUUCUCCAAUGGUGUAGUUACUGUCACAAGAUGUUGGAGCAGUCGCCGAUAUUUUGUUGGAAGAGUUUCGUUUGUGGAUCAUUUUCCUGCGCUAGUCGUCGUCAAUACAAAGUUUUGCCAUUUGGCGUUGCUCAACGCACGGGUGGUUACGGCCUGGCAAUUUUUCCUCACAUGUUUUCGAAACUUGUGAAGUGCUGGAAGAUAUUGAAACAAGUUCAAUCAACUUUUUAAUAGAAUUAGAAAUAACCCAAGAUUUUAUUUAAUUCGACAAUGCAAUAGUUCACUUUGCAAUGUUGAUGUCUUGAAAGAGCGUUAGAUCAUCCUCCCCUGUUUCUUCCAAUAGAAGGCAGCUAUAAAAGUUAAAAAUUAGUCUCAUUUGUAGUACAAUAAGAUGUUAUCCACUUAUUUUUAAUUUAGUCUAUCAUUUUUAGUAUAAUAUGAUGUGGAUUAUAUAUAAAUCAUUUUUCUUAGAUGUGAAUUGUCACCAAAUUGAUAUGUUUUGGAUAUCUUUUCUCAUUCAUGCUAUUUUUUUUUUUUGUAUGCAAGGUUGUUUUUUAUAGUAGAAAAGUAUUGUUUAGUGUAAUGUUUAUUAAUGUAUUCUAUGUCUUCAACAGUGUAUUAUGGGAUUAAUUACACAAUGAUGGUGAUUUCUUUUUAUAUUGUUUUACAAUUAGCAUAUAUGAAUAAAUUAAGAAUUUUGUGUUGUUUUAUUAUCAACUGAUUAAUCUUGUCAUUGAUUCCACGGCAUUAAAAAAUCUUAUUUGUACUAGUCAAGAGAUAAUAGACCACCAUAUAUUUUGCACAUGCAUAAAAUUAGCAACUCUUGGUUUUCCAAAAUACUCUCAAUUAAAGCCACAUUAAGUAAUUUCUAUUAAUUUUAUACUUUUUGAUUUAUAAAUUAAAAUACAACAAUUGUAACCAAUUUUUUUUUCUUUCUAAAAGAUGAUACUUGAUCUAUUUCAGUAUCAUGAAUUAAAGACAAAUCAUAUAUACAUAUAUAUAUAUAUAUAUAUAUAUAUAUUUAAUUUAAUUUAUUCAACUAAAUUGUAUUAAAUAGCUAUGGUUUACAAUUUGAUUAAUUUCUUUUGAUUUCUUUAUACAACUAGUGAAUAUGGGCUAUAAUAAUUGAAAAGAUGUAAUUUGUCUAUCUCCAAUAUUAUUUUUACUAUCUUACUUUUUAUUUAGCAUGUAUCAUUUUUAAUAAAAUUUGGAUCUAACAUUAUGAAUUUAUUUAUUUUAUUUAUUUAUUCUUGUCUCUUUAUCUUUAUUUAUCUUCUUGAUAGGCAUCUUUGUGAUUAGAGCUUUUCUAGUCUUAUCUAAUGGAUUCAACUUAAACUAUGUAUUUUAGUUCUAUAUUGGCAAUUACAAAAUUAUAUUUAAAAAAUGUGACAAAUUUAUUGAUAUCUUUUCAUUAAUUUUUUAAAAAUAUAUACAUAAAUUUAAAAAUUAAUAUUAAUAAUAUUAAUAAUAAUAAUCUAUUAAUUAGUCUUAUUCAUCUUUUUUCAAUCUUAAUUGUAUUGUUAGAUCUAUUCUUAAAGAUAGAAUAUUUUUUAAUUAUAUAUUUUUUUAUUUUAUUUUUUAAUACUAUUAUUUACUCUCUUUUAAAGAGAAUUAUAUCUUCUUAAAUCUCUUGCUUUUUAAUUUCUUAAAAUUUAAAACCUUGUUUUAUAUCUAAUCAUAUUUUUAAAUUUAUUUUUGCAUUGGAUUUAUUUUUAAAUUUAUUUUUCUAAUGAAGCUUUCGUAUAUGAUAUUUUUUCUUGUAUCUAUUUUUUAAUCAAGCCUCACAUCUAUUUAAAGCACUAUAUAGAAUUUUUUGAUAUUUUUUAAAAAUUUGUUGAUCAAUUAUCUCUUCUUUUUAUUUUUUUUGAGUUGACUAAGUAUUAUUUCAAUUGUAUUAUUUAAAGUUAUUAAUCAAUGUCUUUUUAAUUUAGAAAUAUAAUUUCUUCACAUUUUUGAAGAAAAAUUAUUAUUAAUCUUGCUUUUGGUGAAAUACUCCAAAUGUGUUUUUAAUUAGUCUAUUGAAUCUUUUAUUCAUAAUUUAGACUUUGUACAUUACCAUUGGCUCAUCUAACUUCCCAAAAACCUUAGAUUGCUUAAACAUUGUUUUUUAAUAUGCAAUAGAUUUGACUAUUUCUUUUAAAAAAAAUUAUAUUUCUUAAUGUAUAAUAUAAGUGUUUGUGGUACUUGAGCCAAAGAUACUUUGAUUUAGUCUUUUGUUAAUAAUAUUAGCUCAAAUUUCUAAAUCCAUAAAAAAUUUCACAUAUUUAUAGCUUCUAAAAGUAGUAGUACUUGCAUCUCUUAAAUCAUGGUAUAUUAUUUAAAUGCUUAUUUUAAUGUUGUUUUAAGGUUUUUAAGAGGUUUUGUCAUUAAAAAAAAAUCCAUAUCAAAAAUGUUUGACUUUUUGUUGCAACUAAUUAUUUAAGAAAAUUACAAGAACAUAAAAUUAUCUAUAUAUAUAUAUGUAUUAAAAUGACAUAAUUUACAUCAAAUACACAAAUUAGACAUGCACGUGAAACUCCAAAUAUAUAAAUUCUAAAUUUUAGCACUAAUUAAAAUCUCCAUUUGAUCCUUAAAUUACUAACAAAUUCAAAUUACUAUCUUUUAGAAGUCAAAGAUUACACGUAUUUUUUAUAUUCAACUUUUGAAUAAUAUAUUUUUAAAAUUAAUAUAAAAUAUUUUAAAAUAUUUCUAAUAAUAAGAAUAAAAUUUCAAAUAUAUGACAUAAAAUUUUAAAUUUAGAAAAGAUAUUUGUAAGUAAUAGUGAAAAAAAUAAAAAAAUAAAAAAAUAACUUAAAAAAAUAAUGUACUAUUACCUAAUUCUUUUGUUUUCUUAAAUGUUUUAUUCUUAAUAAUUUCUAAACUACAUAUCUUUUAAUAUAAAACUUUUAAAGGAUAAAAAUAAAUUAUAAUAAUAAGUAUUAUUUAAUUAUAAUAAAAAAUUAUUUAAAAUUAUUUUGAAAUAUAAAAGCUCAAAUCUUAAGCUUUGAUUUUGUAGGAUCAAAAAUCCUCUUCAUCUUAUUAUUUUAUUGUUGUCUUUUGUUGUAUUAUUAAAAAUAAUUCCUACUUUAUAACUAUUUUUUAUUAAAAUUUUAAAAAAAUCUGUCAUAGAUAUUUAUAUUUAUUCUAAUAAUAUUCUAUAUAAUAUGAAUAGGUAGAAGUACAUAAAAGUAUAUAAUUUUGAUAAUAUCUUAUAGAAAACCUUUUUAAAAGCUUUAUAGAUAUGUUUUCAUCUUUAUACAUGUCUAUAGAUGAUUGACAAGUUAAAAACUCAACCAACAAGCUGGCUACAUAUUGCACAUGUUGAUAACUUGUGGUAUAAGUUUGUAAUAGGGUAUAGAUAAGAUAACUAUAUAAAUACUUAGAACCACGGAAGUUCUUAGAAUUAGGAUUAGAUUAAUAGACUAGGUAGGAUCCAUUGUAGAACAUUCUAGAAAGGAUUUAAGGCAGUUAUCUAGAUAAGGCCUACCAUAGAACCUUCUAAAAGAAGAAUUUAAGGCAGUUAUCUAAGUAGGGCCCACUAUCUAAGAUCAUUCUAGAAAGUCUAAGGUGGUGGGACAAAGUAUAAAUAGGACUGAUCAAGGUCUUUUGAGGCAUCUAGUCAAGUAUGGCUUCGGAUCUUUUUUCUUAGUAAAGUUAGGUUCUUCAUCUUUUUAUUCAAAUUUGUUUUAUUUUUGUUUCUAUUUGCUCAAUUUUAUCUUUUAUAUCUUAUUUUUUUUAGUUUUGCUCAGUUUUAUUCUAGUUUGUUUUAUCCUAUUUUGUAAAGAAGCCUUAUGUUGUUGUAAAUUGAAAGGAUCUUGUUUUUUUUUAAUUAGUUUAGUCAUGUUUUAUUGGUACUAGAGUCAGUACUAGAUUGUUUAUUUUUGGUAGCAUGUUAAUAAUCAUCAUUUAGUCCAAGGUCAAUUGUUGUGGUCACACUAAGUAUAGUGUUGAGGCUAUCACAAGCUAUUCUUGAAAAGUCAAUCAGGAGAUGAAAAGGCAUUAUAAUAGUAAAGUCUAAUGGAGAAAUUAUAGUAUGAAAGAUAUGGCAGAGCAAUCCCAGAUUGAGACUCAAAUACACCAUCUCUUAGACCAGAUAGCUACUUUACAAGGUAGUUCAAGAUAGAUUUUGUGACUAGAAGGUGUUUGAGACCAAGUUUAGGAAUUGACUUUGGCCCAUGAAUGCAAAAAAGAUAGCAAGCGAUCAGUUGGCAAAUCUUACACAAGCUAGAUCAGUGCAAGAUUAUAUCUCUUGAUUCAAGUCUUUAUGUCUCUAAAUUGAAAAUAUUUUAGAGGCAAAGAUGAUGGAUCAAUUCCUUCAAGGUUUGAAAUGUGAAAUCCAGCGAGAGAUAGAACUAAGGGAUCCACAAACAUUUGAAGAGGCAAUUCAGAUUGUAGAGAGGGUUGAUGCUUUAGAUUUCAGAAAUUAUAGAGCAUGACCUAUAGCACAAAGUCUUAUGCUACUAUUUAAUAUUAUGGUACAACAACCAAUGCCAAUAGAGAUUGAUGCCUUACAAGGAUCAUUGACAUUACAAAGACGACAAAUAUUGGUGCAAAAAGGAUUAUAGUUCUAUUGUUGAGAACUAGGCCAUGAGAUCAGAGGUUGUCCAAAAUGUCAAAGUAUAAGUACUAGUAGGAUAAGGCAGAUUCACAGUCUCAAAAUUCAUUAAGCCAAUAAUGAAUCAGAAUAAGAAAACAAGACUCUCCAAUAAAGGCACCAAGAACCAAUAUUGGGAGUAACUAUUGUCUCUUAAAGACAAAUGGCAUAGCCUCAGAUAACUAUAAAAAAAGAGUCGAUUGGUGCUUCUAAUGAGACUAUUAAGAAGACAACUAUAUCGAAUGCUUGUAGAUUGUGAUUCUAUAGAAAAUUACAUCUCAAUUGAAAUUGCCAAUUGGCUUGGAAUUAAAAUCAAAGAAAUCAAAAGAAAAAGUAUAUAUCUUGUAGAUGACCAAGAGAUCGUAUUGAUUAAGACUUGUGUAGAAGAAAUCUUGAGAUUGAUGGACACUUACAUCUUAAGAGAGAGAUUCAAGGUAAUAAAGCUAAGGUAUGAUGUUACACUUGGUAUGCCAUGGUUGGAGAUGGAAAAUAAGCAAGUUGAUUGGGUAGCAAGGACAAUCUCUUUUAAAGAUGGAAGAUGCAAGGUAACUCUUUGUAUCUCUACAUCAAGUGAAGAGAAAAGAUAAUUUGUAAUUAAAAACUUAUUUGUAGGGACGACCUUUAUGAAGAAGCAACUACAAUGUAAGCAACCAAUAUAUAUGGUGGUUCCAAAUCUUGCGUCAGUGAUUAGAAAGACAAUUGAAGGGAUAAAAUAGAUAGAAUAAUUCAUAUGGGAAUAUGAGGAUGUCUUUCUAAAUGACUAAUCUAGUGGUGUACUUCCUGAUUGAUGUGCCUUCUUUCAAAUAGAACUAUUACUUGGAACCAAAUGAAGAAGUCAACCAAUUUAUUUCCUAGCACCAAAAGAACUUGAAGAGCUACGGAAGACAUUAGACAAACUCUUAGAAAAAGGCUUUAUUUGAGAAAGCACAUCACUAUAGAGAACACUUAUACUCUUUGCAUCUAAGAAAGAUGGUAGACUUUGUCUUUGCAUCAACUAUUGAGGUCUUAAUAAGCAGACUGUUAAGAAUGUAUAUCCACUUCCGCAUGUGGAUGAUCUUGACCAACUUUGAGAUAUAAUAAAUUAGAUCUUUUGAGUGGAUAUUGGCAAAUAUCUAUUACAAGAGAAUAUGUAAAAAAGAUGACAUCUUAUACGUGCUAUAGACAUUUCAAAUGGCUAGUUUUAUCCUUUGGACUCACGAAUGCUCCACCCUCUUUCAUGGAUCACAAGAAUAGAUUGUUUUAAGACCUUUUAGAUAAGUAUAUAGUUGUCUUCAUUGAUGAUAUCCUCGAAUAUAGUAAAAUCUUUGAAGAGCAUGAACAGCACUUAUGAGAGGUGCUAUACUAAUUGUAAGAUAGUUGCUUUUAUUGUAAGCAAUCAAAAUGUGAACUUUGGAAGUCAGAAGUCACCUUUUUGAAGCAUGAGGUGUCCUCUGAAGAUAUGCAUAUGGAGCACAAUAAGAUAAAAGUAAUAGAAGAUUGGCCAAUUCUCAAAGAUGCUUCUAAAGUUUGCUCAUUUUUAGGCCUUGCUUGAUACUAUCACCAUUUUGUUUAGCAAUUUGUUCACAUUGUUGUAUUAUUGACAAACCUAUUAGAGAAAGGUGCUUCAUUUGAAUGGAAACUAGAGCAGCAAAAUGCCUUUGACAAGUUGAAGGAAGCAUUCAUUAUUACUCUAAUAUUACAACCGUAUGAUUCUAUUUUCCUUUGUACGCUGUCAACGUAGAGAAAGUUUGCCUCAAGAAAGUAUUGGACUCCUGGCUACCACUAAUUAUUCAAUCAAGUCUUAGUAUAAGAAAGGCCAAGUUUUUAUAUAUAUCUAGCACAUUUAUGAGCAAUUAUACUAAAUAUAUAAGUCUUAAGUUUCCAAAAAUAUCCAAAAUAUGAUAAAAAAAAAAUUCUAAAUCCUUAUAUAUCCUUAUGGGAUAUUAUUCUUAAACUUCAAAAAUUCAUAUCUUCUAAUUGGACUAUUCAAACAAACUCAAAUUUUACACAAAAUUUUGAUGUACUUCUAACAACUAUCACAACAAAUUUCAACUAUAAAUUCGUUGCAAAACUUAAGAUAUCACCAAAAUCCUAACAGUAGCUUCAAACACUAGUUUUUAUACACCUACGUAUAAUUCUUUUUAUAUUUCACAAAUUAAGCACUCGAAUGCUAUAAAAUUUAUAUAUAUAUAUAUAUAUAUAUAUAUAUAUAUAUAUAGCUUCUUAAACAUAAUAAUCUAUCUUCUUCAAAAAAUUAGAGCCAAAAAUUCGUCCAAAAAUUCAAGAUAUGGCUCCAAUCAUUACUAUGAACAAAAUCACUUACUUACUGCCUUUGAUUUGGAUGCACUGACUUCAACUCUCUAUAACUUCUUCAUCCAAAUUCUAAAUUCAUCAAUAACAUAUGAAAGAUGUAGCUGAAAAAUUGAUCUCUCCAAUCCUAGUUGCCGAUCCUUCGUUGCUCUUUGUAAAUGUAUGUUAUAUCCUAAAGAAUAAUAGUAGGUAUGAAAUUCACACUUUAACUUCGAGUGCCAAUAAAUCCUUCAUAAAAACUCCAAAUCACAUAAAAUUUAUAUCCAAUCCAUAUCCAAAAACCUAAAAUUGAUGAUCUUAGCCUCCAAAGCUCGAAUGAUCUGAGAAUAAAAAUCCUAAUUCUUAAUAAAGCCUAUGACAGCCUCCUUAAAGUCCAUUGGGCAUGGCAUUUGAUCAAUAGGGAUGAAGUUCUCCAUUCCUUACCUUCAUUUGACCAUGCCUUACUUUCAUCCCUCUCAAUUAGCUUCCUACUAAUUUAGAUUUUCAUCUUUAGGCUUCCACCUUCUUCCAAGGCUUCAUACUAAAUAUUUAGGUCUCAUAUAUUUUUUUUAAUGCCAAAAUCAAAACAAGUAAAAAAAAAAAAAAAAAAAAAGUAAAUUUUCUUAUAUCAACUCUCUUUAAAUUAAUCUAUAAACCAUUCUAAUAUAUAGCAAGACUUAUAAACAUAUUACAUAUUUUAAUUAAUUUUUACAUACUAUAAGGAAUUACAGUAUCACAACGCUUGACAUUGAUGCUUCCGACUUUGCUUUUGGAGUAGCCCUUCAAUAAGACUUUGAUAGAAGCAGUCAACCUGUGGCAUAUGGAUCACGCAAGUUCAGAAGGAUAGAGCAUAAUUACUUUGUAUAUGAUUCGGAGUAAUUAGAGAUUGUAUACACUACAAAGAUGUGGUGAUACUAUCUAUUGUUAAAGCUAGUGAUAAUUUAGACUAACCAUUGGUCCUUGCUAAAUGAUUUGCAUCUAAAAAAUAUGAAAUCGUAGCAUCAUCGUUGAGAAAAACAAUUGCAGUUCUUUCAUAUCCAGCUUGAGUACAAGCAAAGGCGACAACAUAUUGUACCAAAUAGCUUAUUAUACAGACCAGACUUGUAAGACAAAUUAGAAGACAAGGCAAAAUUUGCUACCAUUAGUAGCAUCAUUUCAAAUCUAAUCAAAAAGAUAAAAUAGAAAGAAGCUAUACAACUGAAUGCUUAUUUUAAGAUGAUUAGCAAUCUGUUGAAGGUCGACGAUAUACAAUAUCAAGAUUACACUCUUAGUGAAGGCUUGUUCUAUUUCAAGCAAUAAAUUUAUGUAUCCAACAAUGCUAAACUCUAGAUGUGCAUAUUUCAGGAGCGACAUGACAUCCUAAUAUUUGGACAUCUGAAACAAAAAAAGAUCUCAAAAUAGAUUUGAAGGAUAUGUUUUUGGACAAGUUUAGAUUGUGAUGUUCAAGCCUUUGUAUGCUCUUGCAAAUCAUAUCAAUGUAAUAAAACAUGCAACGUAGCGUCUCCUAGACUAUUGCAAUCAAUUUCGCUAUCCACAGCGUGUUGAGAGUAGGUGACUAUGGAUCUCAUUAUAAGUUUGCCACGGAUGCCACAUAAUCAUAUUGUGGUUUCUAUCUUUGUGAAUCAAUUCUCGAAGCAACUUCAGUUGGCCAAGGUACACUUGGAUAUUGAUGCCCCAAUGCUUGCAUGAGUCUUCUUUGAUAUUGUCUUUUGUCACUAUAAAUUACCUCGUGUCAUUAUUUCAAAUUGAGAUUCAAUCUUCACAAAAAGAUUUUGACAAGCCUUGUUCAAGCUACUAGAUACAUGACUUGCCAUGUCUACAACCUUCUAUCCUCAAAUAGAUAGACAAAUAGAGUGUGCCAAUCGAACCUUAGAAGAUAUACUAUGGAUAUUUGUGGCAGUUCAUCAUAAUGAUUGAGAUGAAUAUUUUACAUCCUUGGAGUUUGUUUAUAAUGAUAGUAUUCAAACAAGUAUCAAUCAUUCACCAUUUUUUUUUAAUAUCGAUUAACAUUUGAUUAUGCCAACAAUUCUCUAUCGUCUCAUUGACACCAAUAACUUGACAAUGGAGGAAUUUAUACAAUGGCUUACAAUGGCCUUACAAUGGCCUUACAAGAGGCACAUGAGUACCUUGUUACUUCAUAGAAUUGACAGAAGUAGUAUGCAGAUAACCAUCGGCAACACAAGACUUUUAUUUUGCUCAUACCAUGCUUAGUCAGAAUUUUAUGAAGAUUUUUUAGAAUUUUAUUAGCAUAUUUUAGGAUUUAUUAGGAAUUUUUUAGUUUUUUUUAAGGAUUUUAUUAGAGCUACAUUAGAAUAUGAUUAAGAUUACUUAAAUUUUUUAUUUUUAAUAUUUCAAAUAGAUUCUUUAUUAUUUCUUUGAAAUUUUUAUUUUUAAUAUUUUUUUAGGAUUUUUUUUUUAGAUUUUUAAUUUUAGUAUUUAUUUAAUUUUUUAAUUUUUAUUAUUAUGAUUAAUUUAUGUUUUUUUAAAUAAUUUAUUUUAAGAUUUUUUUGGAUUUUAUUAAAAUUUUAUUAGAAUUAUUAAAGUUUAAUUGGAAUUUAUUUAGGAUUCUAUUAAACAUGUUAAAACUUUGUUGGUACAAUUUCCUAUUUAUCUUCUAUAAUUAGAUGCUUGGUAUAUUUUCAAGUAUGAAUUUACAUACUAUGAUAAUGGUAUGUUUUAAAUCUCUUACUAUGCAGAAAAGAACUUGUCAUUGUCAAGAAGUUUUGUGCUUAUAAUAUGAAGAUCUUGAGCAUACUUCUCAAAAUUGUUUAAAGAAACAAUGCAAUGACAAAAUAAAAAAUAUGGCUGUUAAAGAAGAUAAUAUGUUCAAAAAUAAUUUUUUCUAACUACAAUAGGAACCAUGCAAUUGGAAUCUUCUUCAAUACUUAGUAAAGGUCAUAUUUUUUCCUCAAAAUUCUCUUUUUAUUUUACGAUAAAUAUUUUUUAAGGACCUAAAAAUCACAAAGCCUUUAUUCUACUAUAUUUAAAAAUUUUAAUUUUUUUUUUCGAUGAAAAGUGUCUAAAAAGAUAUAACAUAUCUUUACUAGAGAAAACCAAACUUAUACAUGUAAAAGACAUAUAUGGUCGUUAGUGGUUUUUUAUAGAUAUAAUUUAUUAAAUUAUUCCUAUAAAAAUAGUAACUAAUGGUAAUAAUAGCUUUUUAAUAUUAAUAUUAUUAGAUUACCUUCUAAUCCAAUCAUUUUAGAUUUAUUGUUGAUAAAAAAAUAUAAUCUUUAGAUAGAUUGAAUUUCUUAUAGUCUUAAUUUUUUUCAAAGUACAACUAAGAGUUUUGUUAAAGAGUUAAAAUAUUAAAUUCUAAUAUAAUCAAAUUCUUGUUUUCUAGAUAUAAGAGCUUUUAUAUAUAUUAAAAAAUAAUUCAUAUUUUGUCAUUUAUGUCACAUCUAUUUAUGAUGGUAAAAAGACUUCAAGUAACAUUUCAAGCUAGUAUCAAGAUUAUGAAGACAUUUUUGAAAAGAAGAAUAAUCUUCCAAAGCGUAAUGUUUUUGAUUGCUCAAUAAGCUUUUAAGAAGGACCUCAAUUUUUAUUUUGAUUAAUCUAAAAUUUAUCAAGAAAUAUUUUGAUUAAAAAUAUAUUGAUAAGAACUUAAUCAAAUUUUUUAUACACCAUUCAAAAUAUCCAAUAAAAGCUUGUAUGAUAUUUUUGAAGAAAAAUAUGAAUGAAAGACUAUAUUUUAAAUUUAAUAUAGGCAUUUUGAAUAUAAUGUCAUACCUUUUAGACUUACAAAUGCAUUAGGUGCUUUUCAACAUCUUAUAAAUAAUAUUUUUUGAGAGUUUUUAGAUAAUUUUAUUAUUUAUUAUCUAAAAAAUACUUUAAUUUAUUCUAAAAGUAUAAAAAAAUCAUGAACUUCAUAUUUGUCAUGUGUUAUAAAAACUGAAAGAUGUAAGACUAUAUACCAUGAUAAAAAAUAAAAAUAAAAAUAAAAAUAUUUUAUACUACAAAAGUUGACUUCUUAAGAUGUAUCAUUUCAAAUGAUGGUCUUAUAAUAGAUCCUAAGAAAGUUCAAACUAUCAUGAAUUGAAAGAUUUUAAGAACCAUAAUAAAGAUCUAUUUUUUUAAAAAAAAUUAUCAAUUAUUACCAAAUUUUUAUCAAGAACUUUUUUUAAGUUCCAAUUUUAUUUACAUGUUUGAUUUGUAAAGAAAAAUUUGAGUGGAAUAAAGAAGCAAAAAUACCAUUUGAAGUUUUGAAGACAACUUUUAUUUUUGUUUCAAUCUUAUAUUACAUCAAUUUUAUUAAGGUAUUUUGUAUGAAAAUAGAUUUAUCAAAAUUUGUUUAAAGUGUGGUAUUGCCACAAAUAAGAAUAGAUAAAAUAAUCUAUCAAAUAGCUUUUUAUUCAAGAAAUUUUUUAACAUCUGAGAUCAACUAUAAGACUCAUCACAAAAAACUACUUGCAAUUAUAGAUUCAUUUAAAGAAUGGUGUCAAUAUCUAGAAGCUACUUUUUAUUGAGUUAUUAUUUAAAUAGAUUACAAGAACCUCAAGUAUUUUAUGUUAGCACAUGUUUUGAAUUAUUGAAAAGUGCAUAGAAAUAUAUUCUUGUUAAGAUUUCUAUACAAUAUCAUUUAUUGGCAAAGAUAAUAAUAAGGUUUGUUAGAUGAAUUUUUUAGACAUUCUUAUCUUACAUCAAAAAAUAUAUAAUUUUUGAUUAAUGAAAAGGCCAUAUGACCUUUUUGAACAUAUAUGACUUUUUUCAACCAUUAUCUAUACCAAAACAAUAAGUCUUUUAUUUCUAUGGAUUUUAUCAUAGAUCUACUUAUUUUAAGUUUUUAUGAUCUCAUAUUUAUAAUAGCAGAUUAUUUUAUUAAGAUGUUAUAUUUUCAACUAUAUACAAAAAUUAUUGCAAGUGAAAAAAUAUUUAAACUUUUUCUUCAUAAUAUUAAUUGAUAAUAUAAAUUACAAAUGAAUACUAUAUUUAAUAGAGAGAUUCAAUUUGUGUCAAGGUUUUGGAAAAUCCUUUUGAAGAUAUUAAAAGUAAAUAUAAAAUUAUAUUAUUAUUAUUAUUAUUAUAUUGAUAGAUAAAAAAAAAUUAUAAAAUAAUAUCUAAAAUAUACCAUUAAAUAUCAUUAAGAUUAUUAGACAACUAUUUUGCUAUUAGAAAAGUUUACUUAUAAUAAUAAGAUAUAUUUUUUUACUCAAUGAAUUUCUUUUUUACUAAGUAUAAUUAUCAUCUACAACUUGAUACCUUUUACUUCUAAUAAGUUGAUAAUCUUUUGGUAGAAGAUUUAAAAAAUUAUUUAUCAAAACUACAUACAACAAUAAAAACAUAAUUAGAGGAAAUACAAAAACAAAAAAUGAACAAUAUAAAUGCCUAUUGCAAAGAAAAAUUUUAAUUUUACAUUAGAAACAAGAUAUAAUUACUUUUUUGUAAUAAUAAGACUAAUUGCCUUUGUGAUAAGUUGAAUUAUUAUAGAUUUAGACCAUUUUUCAUUUGUAAAUACAUUAAUCCAAUUGCUUAUCAAUUACACCUAUCAAAAUCUAUAAAGAUCUAUCUCAUCUUCUAUAUGUUUCUUCUUGAGUCAUAAAAAAAUAUUAAAUAUCUUGAAAAGAAGAAAAUUUCCACCUCUUUUUAUAUAAGUAGAUAAUAAUCAAAAAAUAAAAUUAAAGUACUUGUUUUAAGUUACAUAAGAGUAUAUUAAGUUUUCGGUUCUUUGAUAUUCAUAUCCUUUAGAGUUUAAUAAAAGUGCUCAUUCAUUGUUCUUAUCUUAAUUAUAGAAGUAAGUUGACCACCUCAUUUUCAUUUUUGUAUUUUGAAGGUUGCAGACUACUCACCUUCAAUCUAACAUUUCAACUUCUUGAUAUAAUUUUUUCCUUAAAAAGAAUAGACUAUCUUUGCAAAAAAUUUCAUUUGAUAUUAGAGCUUGUGGAUUAUUCUCAUCUAAAUUAACUUAUAGAUUUGUUUGAAUUGUCUGUAGAAGUAAAAAUUAUAGAUGCUACUCUCAAAAAAAAUAAGAAUAGAUUUGCAACCAUUAUAUAUCUUCAGAAGUUUUUUAACACUCUUAAGAUAGAGAUCUCACAUAUUCUUAACAUCAACUAUAGAUAUAGUAUUCCAACACCUAUAGAAGAAGUCAAUAAUAAAAUUAAAAGUCUAUAUCAAGAAGUUGUGCAAUUGAAAAAAAUAAAUAGAUCAAAUUCAUAAUUAAAUCCAAGAAGUCUUACUACUAUAAGUAUGAAGGAGAUAAGGGUAAGUAUAUCAAAGAAGUUUUAGGAUUUAUAUAACAAAUAAAGAUCUAUCUAAUGUUGUAUUAUUCUUAAUAUCUUAAUAGAUUUAUUCAAAUUGGAUUCAUUUAAAUAAUUCUCUUUGAAAGUGUUCUUUCUUGAUUUGUACUUUUUAUGAAAAAAGAUUCACGGCUAUUCUAUGAUUUGAAUUUAUUUUUAGAAGUAUUUAUGGCUACAUUUGGAAAAAAUCAUCAAGAAAGAAUAUCAAAGACUAAGCUCAUAUCUCUGAAUAGAAUCACAUUUAGUUACCAUAUACUGUUGAAUUUUAAAAUCUUACUUGUAAUGUGGAUUGGAAUGAUAAAGCACUUAUCAAUUAAUUUUCAUAUAGAUUGAAAGAUAAUAUCAAACAUUUAUUAUUGAUAAUUUGUCAAAGAUAUGAAUCUUGAAAAAAGAAAAUCCUCAACAUAGUCUUGUAUCAUUGAAAGAAACUAAAAAGGUACUAAAAGAUGAUAUAAUAUUCAACUAGAAUAGCUAUUGAUAAAAAUAAGAAGACUAAAAAGAUGUGAAACAAGAUUAAGGACUAGAAAGGCAUUAAUAAGAAUGAAGAAGGCUUCACUCUUGCUUUCAUAUAUAUAUAUAUAUAUAUAUAUAUAUAUAUAUAUAUAUAUAUUCUCUAACCAAAAACUACGUGACAAUAUUCUAUAGGACCUCCAAUAUUUGUCGACUUUACUAGCCACAUGUCUUAACUUGCAAAGCAAGUUAUCUAUGUAUGCACUAUAUAAUUAGCUUAUUUCACAAGCUUCUUCAUGGAGUUAACUUAUUCUACAAGCUAUCAACACGUGGUUAAUUUAUUGGCUAAGUUUCUAACCUACAAUCACAUAUAAAGUCAAAACUACAUCUAUAAAGCUUCUAAGAAGCUUUUCUAGAAGACUUUAUGAAAUUAAUUUAUAUUUACCUACUUCUCCCUAAUCAUAUAAGUAACUAUUGAGAUUAUGUAUAUAUUCAUGAUAUUAAUCAUCCUUCUAGAGAUGAGUUUCAUGAGAAGUGGUUAUCAUCUUUCAUGGAUCUUUACAAUUCUUCAGCUUGGUUUUGAUGGAUGUCGUUAAUAAAAGGCUUCAAACUUCUUUGUUGAAUUUACAAGAUUCUUUACUGGUUCUUGUGUGUAUUUGCUAAUAUCAUAUCUAUGCCAAUGAAUAAGAUAUUCUAACCUAUUUUUGUACUGCCUUGAAUUUAAGACUUCUUCUACUUCGAACUCUUGAUUAUUAUCCACUUCUAUAGAAAGUGGUGGCAUUUGCCUUCUUCUUGAGAUAUUAACUAUCUUAUAUGACUAAAAAAAGGGAUAUGUGAAAUACAAGGUGGAUCUUUAUAAACUUCGGUAGAUGUAAUCGAUAAGCAAUAGAAUUGAUUUGUUUACAAAUAAGAAAAGUUUCCAGCCUACGAUAGUCCAACUUAUCACAAGGACAAGUAGUCUUGAUAUUGUUAUGAAGUAAUCAUAUCUUGUCACCUACAUUGAAUUAUAGUUGCUCCUUAUAAUAGGCAUCGACAUAGGUCUUUUUUCAUUCUUGAGCUCCUUAAAUUAUGUCUUCAUUGUUGCAUGUAGCUCUAACAAAUAAUUUGCUAAAUCUUUUGCUAUAGGAUUAUCAACUUUUCAAAAGUCAAAAGCAUUAAGUCAUGGAUGAUAACCUUAAUUGGCAAAGAAAGAUAUUUAUUGAAUAGAAGAAUGUAUCAAAUUAUUAUAUGUAAACUCUAUCAAUGGCAAAAAAGUUGUCCAAUCAUUUUGAUGUUAAUUGAUGGUACACCUCAAAUACUGCUCCAAAACUUAAUUCAUCCAUUCUGUUUGCUCAUCAAUUUGAAGAUAAAAAGCUGAAGAGAGCUUUAUAUCCACUUUUAGAAUCUUUAAUAGGAUUCUCCAAAAUUUUGAUAUGAAUUGAGUCUCCUUAUUCAAUAUAAUAUUCUUUGACAAUCCAUGAUAGCAAUAGAUAUUGUCAAUGAAAAGCUUAGUUAUUUCUUCUCUUAAAAUAGAUUUUAUACAUAUUACAAAAUAUGCCAUUUUUGUGAAGCAAUCUAUAAUUAUGAAUAUAGCAUCAUAUGAAUUUGAACUUGAUAGAUCUAUAAUGAAAUCCAUAGAGAUGGAAGAUCAUGAUUGUUUGAAUAUAAGCAAUGGUUGGAAAAAUCUAUAGCAUUGAUGACGAGGAGUUUUUGAUCUUGAACAAAUGUCACAUAAUUAGACAAAGUCUUUUACUACUUUUUACAUUUACAACGACCAAAAAUCUCUAAAUAUAAUCUCUAAAGCUUUAUUGUGUCCAAAAUAUUCUAUUCUUAGAAAGUCAUGAUGUGCUUGAAGAAUACGUAAAUGUGCUUAUUCUUUUAGAACAUAUAAGCAUUUUUCAAAGUAGAGUAGGUUGUUUUUGAAUCCAAACUUUGAAAUACCAUAAGACUUAGAAGAAAGAUUCUUGAUAUCAUGAACAAGAGAAUCAAAGGACAUACUUGAUUGAAUUUGUUUUAGAAAGGUCAAAUCAACAGUUAAUGUUGAUUUCAUUACUCGAAGAUAAAAAUACUUUGACUUCAAGAGGAUUAUUUUUUAUUGAUCAAAAGAUACGUCUCCUUCUUUUUGUGCAUGGUAAGAAUGUCUAAAAAGAACAUCUCAUAAACCUUCUUGUUUUUCAAGUCAAUGUCAAGGACAUACACUAGGAAGUUGUAGAAGUUUCUAGAAGGUUCUAAAAAAGCUUUGUAAUUUAUAGAAGCUACUUGAAAAGUUUUUAAGCUUGUGGAAGUUGCUUGAAAAGCUUCUUAGCUCAUGGAAGCUGCUUGAGAAGCUUCUUAACUUAUAGAAACUGCUUGAGAAGCUUCCAAGUUUUAGGAAGCUACUUAUAAAGCUUCCUAGCUUGUAGUGUAUAUAGGAGCUAAGAUUGAGGAGAUCUUUAGUCUCGACAACACAUCUCUUAGAGCUCUAGCUCACCUCUCUAGUCUUGUUCUUACACUCAUCUGAUUAAUCUAGUUCUUUUCAAUUCUUCUUGAGCUUCUUGUUUAGAUUUCUACUUAGUAUUCUAAAUUCGUAACAGUUUGUUGAGACUGCACUCGUCUUUCAUAUGAAAGCUACUUCUUUCUUGUUAGAAUGUGGAUUAUCCCUCUACUUGAAGAUGUUGGUAUUUUAUAGGUUGCGGAUUACCCUCCUCUAAACUGAUAUUUCUUCUAUUAUAAUAUUAGAGUCUUAUCUUUCUUGGAGAGAGUGAAUUAUCCCUCUUCUUGAAGGUUUUAAGCUAUUUUAGAGGUUGCGGAGUACCCUCCUCUAAACCAAUACUACCUUCUUGUAGAGUCAUCUCUUUCCUUCUCUUAGAAUGGUCGGAGGUAAGGAUAUUAGUAUGACUAAAAGUUUGGAGUCCAAGUUGGAUGCCAUUAUGAAUGCUCUUGCUACAUUAUCACAGAGAAUUAUAGAGAUUGAAGGAGUUGUUGCAAGACUUCAUAAUGAUGGAGCAUCCAAAAUGGCACAAUUGAGGAUUUACUAGCGUUAAGUUUCAAUACCAAGAGAAGCAGCUUUGCCUCUAGUUCAACAAUGACCGUUGGUCUUACGAUGAAAAGAGUCUCAAAUUAGCCUUCUAGACAAGUUUGAAGGUACGCAUUCCAAGUUUUAAGGUUUUGACAAUCGAAUUAGAUUGGUAAUAGCUUUACAGCUCGAAAGCUAUCCGAUGAAGAAGUCACGUUGUCGUACUGUAAUUACUUACAGUAUGUAAAAAUUAGUGAAAAUAUGUAAUAUGUUUAUAAGUCUUAAUGUGAGUUAGAAUAGUUAGUAUGUUAAUUUAAAAUCAAUUGAAAUAAGAAAAAUUAUUUGGAAGUUAAUCUAGUUUGAUUAUAGAUUUUAAAUUAUAUAGGAUUUAGAUAGUUAGUAUAAAGAUUAAGGGAAGGGAGGAGUUAAAAGAUGAAAAUAUAACUAAAAGGAGGCAUAUUGGGAAGGAUGAAAGUAAGGCAUGGUUGGAUGAAGGCAAGGGGUGAAGAACUUCAUCCCUAUUGGUCGAAUACCAUGCCCAAUGGGCUUUGAGGAGGCUGCCCGAGGCCAUAUUAGAGAUUAGGGUUCCUCUUUCAAGGCCAUUUGAGCUUUUGAGGCUAGGGUCAGAAGGUUUAGGGUUUUGGGUAUAAUUUGGGUGAAGAUUUUGUGUGAUUUCGAGUUUUUAUGGGAAAGAUAUGAAUGUUCAAAGAUAAGGUGUCAAUUUCAUACCUACUGUCACUUCUUUUGGGCAUCACAUACGAAUACGGAGAGCAACGGAAGAUCGGCGACUGGAUUUGGAGGGAGAAUUUUCUCGGCUACACAUUCUACUUACUAUAUAGUGAAUUCUAAGAUUAGGUGAAGGAUUUAUGAGGCGUUGAAGACAGCACUUGUAAUUUGAAGGCAGUAAGUAUAUCGUUUUGUUGCUAGUUAUGGGUGAAGCCAUAUCUUGAGUUUCUAGACGAAUUUUUGGCUCAAAAUUUCCAAAAGUGUGUGUAAUUGGGUUAAAAAGCUUUAAAUCAAAGUUUCAUAGUAUUUGAAUAAUUACUUUGUGAGAUAUGAAGGAAGUUGUACAUGGGUGUAAAAAAGCUAGGAUUUGAAGCUACAGUUAGGGUUUUCAAGAUAUCACAAGAUCCAAGACGAAUUUACAGUUGAAUUUUGGUGUGGUAGUUGCUAGAGAUAUAUCAGUACUCCAUGUAAAAUUUGGAGUUGUUUAGACGGUUAGAUCGUAAGUUAUGAGCUGUUGAACUUCGGAAAAAAUUCCUCAUAAGGAUAUAUAAGUUUUUUAUAACACCUUAUCAAGUAUUUUGGUGUUCUUUGGAUUUUAAGGCUUGUAUAUUGAUGUAAUUGCUCCAAAAGAGAGGAGUUUAUAUAUAUAAAAUUGUUACCCUUAUAUUUCAAACUCGAUUGAGUAUUUAGUGACAGCCAGAAGCCCAGCGCUUUCUUGAGGCAAACUCUCUCUACCCCGACAACGUAUUGGACUGGUUGGAACUUUGCUCACAAGACAAGUUCUAUCAUGGUUUGCUCUUUUGUUUGAAAAAAGAUCAUCAAUUUUGAAUAACUUCGAAACUUUUUUAGAAGCGUUUGUGGAAACAUUUGGCAAACAUGACAAGGCAUGAUAGGCUACAACAAAGAUCCGAUCGCUACGACAAGGGAUACGCUCUGUGUCAGUCUAUGCAUUAGAUAUCAAACAAUUAGCGUGCAACAUCAACAGGGACGAGGAAGCAUUGAUGAGUCAAUUUUAUUGGGGCUUGAGGGACGAUGUGAAGGAUUUGUUAUUAUCUCUUUCCGAUUUGCAAAUGCUCAACAAAGCCAUUAGCUAAGCCGUUGUCGUGUUAUAACACGAGUAUACUGUGAAAAUAUAAAGAAAGAGGACUUUUAUUAAUAUUUAGUUACCUCGAAUAUUGGGGGCAACGACUAAUUCCAAUGCAAAUACUGGGAGGCCAGGGUCAGUCACCCCAUUACAAUCAGCCUGAGCAUACUGAAAUGCUCUGUUCGAUUCCAAUAACGGGAGUUAGCAUAAAAGGAAAAGGACCAAUUCAACAACGGGUGAGUCUGGUUCGAAGAGCCAAUUGGAUUCAAUUUCAAGACAUCCAAUCUAGGUCUUACUAUGGGCCUCUCAGCCAAUCUGACGCGAAGGACCAAUUUGACCCAGUUACAGAAACAUCUAGGUCUUACUACGGGCCUCUUAGCCAAUAUGAGACUUGAAUUGGUCGGGCGACUCAAUGUGGUCCCGAUUACGGGGUUUUGAUUCUGUUUCAGGCUGUCCUGUUCUGUGUGCCGUUUCAAGGAACGUUGUUUUCGGUAAAAGGAUCUCUUAAAGGUAAAAACAGAGGAAAAUGCUCUGGUGGCGAGAGCCAAUUUCAGAUCCAAGCUCUAACGGGGGGAGCAAAUUUCGGAUCCAAGACGGAAGAUUGAAGAAAUUCAGAAUUAAGGUUAAGAAAUGGAGGGAGAAGGAAUAAGUUUUUUUGGGAUUUUGAAGGAUCGAGAGAGCUAGCUUCAUGCUUCGGGCGGGAAAAAAAGACAGCGAAUUGGAUAUUUUUUUUCUUCAUAGGAUUUUGGGAAGAUUGAGGCAAUCAUUGUUGAAGUUAGUGUUGUAAUGGUGAAUCGAGAUUUUUAAUGAAGUGGCUUUGAUUCCUCUUGAUUGUUUUGUGAAAUCGAGUUAUGUCUGUGAUUAAGAAUUAGAAGGGUGUCUAUAGGAUUGAAUAUGCAGAGUGAAUGAAAUUUAUUGGGUUAAUCUAACGAGACAGUUAGCGGAUACAAGAUCAUGAGUAUAAAGCGGUACCGAUGUCAUACUACGUGCUUUCCUGCUCGAGAACGCGCCUGACGUUUGGCUGUAGAAGGUACUAUGAAGAUUCGCCAAUAGUCAAGCAGUCUAUCAGUUUUUGACUGUUAGAAUAUAAACGACUGCAAGAAUAUACCGUAAAUCUAUACGGAUGCCCCUUCGACUGCUCGCCGAAGUCCUUUUUGUCCCGGCCGGUAGAUCUCUAAACGAUACAGAGAACCCCGAACAAUCCAAACUGUUAAUCUUCAGUACCGCUUUGUACUUACAAUCUUAUAUCUACUGACUGUCUUGUUAGAUUAACCCAAUAAAUUUCUUUCACUUCGCAUACUCAAUCCUAUAGACACAAUUUUAAUUCUUUCAAUCUCAGAUGUAACUCGAUUUCACAAAACAGUCAAGAGUAAUCAAACCCACUUCAUUAAAAAAAUCCCGAUUCACCAUUACAACACUAACUUCAGCAACGAUUGCCUAAGUCUUCCCAAAAUCCUAUGAAGAAGAAAAACCCAAUUCUUCGUCUUUUCUUCCCCGACCUAAAGCAUGAAGCUCCUCUCCAAUCUCCCCAAAAAAUCUCCCCACCCCCCCCUAAACCUUAUCCUCUGAAUUUCUUCAAUCUUCCGUCUUCGAUCCGAAAUUGGCUCCCCUCGUCAGAGCUUAGAUCCAAAAUUGGCUCCCGCCAUCAAAGCUUUCUUCUCCGUUUUUACCUUUAAGAGAUCCAUUUACCGAAAACAACGUUCUCUGAAACGGCACAGAGAAUAGGACAGUCUGAAAUAGAAUCGAAACCCCGUACUCGGGUCUACAUUGAGUUGCCCAACCAAUUCAGGUCUCAUAUUGGGUAAGAUGCCCAUAGUAACCUGGAUGUUCACGUAAUUGGGUCGAAUUGGUCCUCGCGUCAGAUUGGCUGAGGCCCAUAGUAAGACCUGGAUUUUCCCGUAAUUACACUGUAUUGGGUUGCCAGACCAAUGCAGGUCUCAUAUUAGAUAAGAGGACCCGGAUUGGAUUCUUGAAAUUGGAUCCAAUUGGCUCUUCGAACCAGGCUCACCCGUCGCGUGAAUUGGUCCUUUCCCUUCCUGCUGAUUCCCGUUAUUGGAAUCGAAUGGAGCAUUUCAAUAUCCCCCGGCUGACUGUAAUGGGGUGACUGAACCUGACCACUCAGUAUUUGCACUGGAGUUGGUCGUUGCUCCCAAUAUUCGAGGUAACUGAAUAUUAAUAAAAUUCCCUUUUCUUUAUAUUUUCACGGUAUACUCGUGUUACAACACGACAUCCACCCCUUUUAAACCUGUGCAUCCUCCGAUAUGCACCAAUUUAUCCAAUUGCUGUUUGAUUCAGAAUAUAUCCUCUACGUCUUUGCCCAAUUCGUCUUCGUCACCUUCAUUAUCCAAAUCACUUUCAUCUUCUUGCUGCUGAAUCUCUAUACCUUCAUUAAGGUCUUCCAUAUUCAUCUCUGCGUGUCUUCGUUUAAAUAUUUUUACUCGCUUUCCUGCAAUUGGUAUUUUCAAUUUUGUACCAUCUAACUCCCAUAAUGAGUAAGUCGCAUUAUCAUGAACAGUUGUUACCACAUAUGGUCCAAACCAACGUUUUGAAAAUUUCCGCAAAGUACUAUGUUGAUUAUCCAGACUAUUGUCAUAAACAAGUACCCAGUCACCUUUCUCGAUUGCUUUUGGUCUCAAUCGAUGUUGCUUAUCGAAUCGCACCUUGUUUUGUAACCUUGCUCUUUUUAACCUUUCCAAUGCUAUCUGCACAUCUUCCAUUCUUUGCUCCAAUUGUCCAAUCCUAAUAGCCAGAAGUUCUUUUCUUGUCAAUCCAUCUUCCCAUGGUAGCAUACUCCAAGUAAGUACCUUUUCUUCAAUCAACAUAAUUGGUUUUUGACCUGUCAUAAGUUCUACUGGCAUAUAUCCUAUCACCGAACUAUGUGUUGUUCGAUCAGCCCAUAAUGCAAAUGACAAAAACCGUGGCCACUCUUUAACUUUUCCAUUACAAGCUUUAACUAAUGCUUUCACAAUCGGUGGGUGACCGUGUUCGCUUUUUACAUUCCCUUCUCGAUUAUAAGCAGUAGUCAAUGAUAGUUUAACUCCACAUCUUUCAAAGAACUUACGAGCUUCUUGUGCAUUUAAUUCUCCACGAUCUGCAGUGAUUUUUCUUACGCAUCCGUAGUGGCAAAUGACAUCUUCAAGCAAAAACCUACAAAUCUCCUCUGUAGAUUUUGUCCUCAAUGCUCUUCCUUCUACUUGAUUUGAUAAAUCUUCACGAGCUAAAACCAAAUAUCUCAUCUUCCAUAACCCAACCGGCAUAAUAACCAAAUCAACAACCCAUUUAAAAUGAAUAGCCAGAGGAUACGUAGGAUGAAGACCAUCUCGAUGUCGGAUAUUAGAAUAUGAUUGACAGAUUUCACAUGACUCUACAAAUGAGAGCACAUCUUGAUACAUAUUUUUCUAUCAAUAUCGUUCCUUGAAUUUAGCAAAAGUAGCCCAGAUUCCUCUAUGCCCUACCCAUAAACUAUCAUGAAACUCCUUUAAUAAUUUUAGUUUUUCUUCCUUUUUGCCUAUCACUCGUUGUGGCAUCCCAAUUCCUUUCUUCGGUCACUUCCAUAAGAAUCCAUCUCAAAGUAAAAAUCCAUAUGCUUUUUUUCUUAUUUAUUUGAAUUUUUCUGUAGACCAAUUCCCUUGCUUAGUCAAGGUAUUCAAGUAAUGACUAAUAUCCAAUAAUUCUCCUUCAUAAGAUUCUUCAAGAAAUAGCUUGUCUUCUCUGUUGAGAUUUGAUAUUGAAUAGAAUUUCAAUCCGACGUCAUCAAUGUCUUCAACCAUUUCGUCCUCCCUCUCGUAUCUUGCUCGAGAUAGCAUAUCUGCUACUAAAUUGUCCUUCCUAGUAAUAUGCUUAAAUUUUGGAUUUAGUGACUUAAUAUAAGCAAUCCAUCUCAACAUUGCAAUAUGUGGCGUUGAACAGUUAAUAAUCAUUCCAAGCAAUGGCAAGCAAUCUGUUUCAAUUACUACAACUGCCCCAAUCAAAUAGUCCUUUUCAGCUUUCAUAGCCGAAACGACUCCCCAAAGUUCUCUUUUGACUUGCCAAUAUGCACGCUGACGAAUACUUAAAACUUUAGCCCCAAAUCGAACAGCAAAUCUACUCCCAUUUGAAUCAUCUUGACCCACAGCCCAUCCAAUGGCAAUUGGACUAGCGUCCAUAGUAAGAAUCACUGGUCUAUUGCACUUAUAAUCAACCUUCCUCAAUAUUGGAGGUGACAUCAAUAAUUUCUUCAAUCUUUGCAUUGCCUGAAUAUGCCUUUCUUCCCAUUUAAAUCGGUAGCCCUUGCGUAACAGUUCAUAUAAUGGAUCCGCUAUGUGAGCAAAAUGAAGGAUCCUGAUUCGAUGAAAUACACAUGCACCCAAAAACCUGCGAACUACUGUUAAAAAAUCACAAUCCUCUUUCAUCCUUCCAAUUGCAUCAACUUUAGUCAGAUCUGGUUUUCUUCUGUAAGAUCCACAUAAAUGUCCAACAAUUACAACCUCUCAUACUCCAAAUACGGACUUCAUACCCGAUAAUGUAAGAUGAACUUCUCCAAGCCGAGUUAAAAUCUUUUCACAAUCUUGUAUAUGAUCAACAACAUAUUUGCGACACCUCCUCGUAUCUAAAGUUUCAUCCUUGUCUCCUUCUCUAUACCCUUUUAUAGGAACAUCAUCCAGAAAAGGCAUAGUCUUUUCCGGAAUAAAAUCUCUCAAUACCUUAUUCAUCCCAUUCAUCAUAUGCGCAAUUGAGUUGGUCGCGCCUUGAGGAAGAGUGCACAUUCUAACCAAUCCAAGUGGUGUCCUCAUUGUUGUCAUAUCUCUACUUCCUUCGGUAAGUUGAAAUUGAUCAUAACCUGAAUACAAGUCACCCAUUGAAUAGAUCGCCCUUCCAGCAAACGCCUCAGCAAAUUCAUCCACAAUAGGUCCAAUUCCUGCAUUUCUGACAGUUACUGCAUUCACCGGUUGCAUAUCUUGAAUAAACUGUAGUGACCCAUUCUUCUUAGGUACCGUAAACCAUUGACUAGAAUACGGCGCAAAUGAAGGUUUCAAUAUUUUCAUCUUUAUCUUUUCUUUUAAUAGUUCCACCAAUUUAGGUAAAUGUGCGCUCGAUACUGGAAUCGGUCUUAGAUUCCAAGGUACAUGUGGUACAAUGAAGAUAACCAUAGGCGUUACAAUAUUUGGAUCCACACACCCAAUUUCAUGAGAUUCGAAGGCAAACGAUCUACCUUGUUUAGCAAACAUUCUUUUGAAGCAAGUAAUUUCUUCUGGUAAUAAAGAACCAUCAGAACCAAUCUUCAAUUCUUCAAAAGUCUCUCUAGUAAACUGGUGUCCAAUACUCAUUGAAUCUCUUAAAUUUGCUUCAUUUGAUGCUUCUCCCAUUUGUUCUUUAGAAUCCUCUCGUAAUGGUCCGGCAACAGGCUUUACCUUCUUAUCUGCCGUUUUAUAUCUCAUCUCUACAGUGACUUUUGGUGCUUGAAAAGAUUCAAGUAUAGUAUAAAUCUCUCUUGAAUGAAUCUCAACAAUCUUAUCAUUAUCCCCUAACCCAAUAGAUGUAAUCAAUUCCAAUGAAUCUUCCAGUCCAUUUUCUUCAUAAACACCUAAAAUCCUCUCAUCAUCUUGCAAUGUACCUAACUUGCAUAAUUGUCCUUCAAUAUCAUAUAAUCUUUUUCUUUCUUUUCUUUUAAAAUCAUCAACUUUCUUAUACAUAAUAUUUCCAUUCUCCAAUAUACCAAUAAAACUCGCAUCAAAGGUAUCUUCAUCUUGCGAGAGUACCUCCUCUUUUGUACCUCCAUAAUCUUGCUUUACAGUGGUACCUCCCCAAAAUCCUUAAAUCCUUCAACAAUCUUUGGCAAUGGUUUCUCCUUCAACCUAUCUCGAUUCCGUUCAUGGUUAGGAGGUACUGUUAGAAAUUGUACAGCUUUCCUUCCAUGUUCGCUACGUACCCUUGCAUAAGCAGAACCAUCGUCAAGUACCUUUGUUUCCAUCCGUGUUGCCGUGAUAUAAGGUUGUCCUAAAACCAACGGAUAAGACGUUGUAUCUUGAACAAAGAAAUGUUGCUCCGUGGCAACAUCCCCAAUCCAAAUUUUGACAUUUAAACAAGCUCCAUAUAAUUCGCCCCGUGUGUUAUUAGUCGCUCGAAUUGCCCAUCCAUGUUCCAUAUCAAUUGGCCAUUUUUGCUUCUUAUCAAGAUCUUUAGACAUAAGAUUUAUUUCAGAACCAUGGUCGACUAAAGCAACUAUUGGUUCUUCUAUAUCUCCUACUUUCACCAAUACCUCAGUAGUUGCCCUUGCCCAAUGUUUUCGAGUAUAAUGGCUCAAAGUUUCCAUUUUCUUGUCACUAGAAUCUUCAAAACGUACUCGCUGAUUAUACCCAUUCUUUUCAUUUGUUGGUUGCUUGUAACUAAUAUCAACCUCUUCUUCAUCUUUAUAUAUUCUUGCAUCAAUAGCUUGACUCAUUCCAGUUUUGCCCAUUAAUUGCCUCUUUCGCUUAAUGCUAUCAAUGAUGACAUUAUGAAACUCCUUCUUUACAAUUCCCAAGACUUCUUUCAAUGUGAAUUCUACCUUAGCAUUUAAUAUACGUUCUUCCAACAUCCCUUUCAAAUUUGUUGCCGCUUCAAUGUCAGAAAGUAGCUUAUAAGCAAUUGAUUUGCCCUUAUCUUUUGUCUCCUUUGUUUUUUCUCUCAAUGAUGCUGAGGUAUCCUUUACAGGCAAUUCUUGUGAAGCUGCCUCCUGAGCCUUGUCUCCUCGAGUUUGCCUCUUAGAAGAAUUUCCUUUUCUAGUAUCAUCAAAAUUUUCUCGUCUCUUUUCUUCCAUCAAAGCUUCAUGUUGGCUCUUACCAAUAUAUGCAUGAAUUGAAAGAGACUCAACAGGAUCCUCCCAACCUGUUCUUCCUCGUAUUGUAGCUGCAGUUCUCAAUAACGCUUCUCGAGGUAAUUUCCCUUCUUGCAUUGUAGAAAUGGCAGAAGCCCAAAACUCACUAGUUUCCGUACUUCCACCAAUUUCAUCAUCUACUCUAGCACCAUAACUUGCACUUUCUCCUGCUGUUGAUUCAUGCUCUUUUAGGUAAUCUUGAACCAAUGCUCUCAUUCCUCCCUUGCCAAAAUUGGUUUGAAGAAGAUCCUCUCUAUUUUUCAAUGCUAUCUUUCCAUCUUUCCAGCAAAUAAUUCCCUGCCGUAUCAUAUUAUUAAAUUCAUUGCAAUCUUUUCUAGUGUGUGAAGCAUCAUCACACCAAAUGCAUCUUUGUACAUAUCCUUGUUUUGAAACAUUCUUCGAAUUGUUUAUAGAAGUAUUCUCUUCAAGUCUUGCCAAUUUGAUUUGAAGAUCUCGUAUUCCUCGUAUAAUUUCUUCCAUUUCCAUAUCUGCUUUCUUUGAUAAGGAUGUCGAAGGUUGAACUGUAGGCAUUGUUGGUGGUGUUGUACGUACUAGAGCUUUGGGUGCUUGUAAUGUUUUCGGAAUAUUGCUCCUAUCCUUCCUCCUUUCUCUUUUUGUAAGCAACCCCACCACAUCUUCAAUGUCCUUCCACUUUGUUGUCAAUCCUUCAUCUUCUUCUUUGUCUUCAAGAAGAAGUUCUAAUUUUCCUUGUAAUUCUCCAUCAACAGCUUGAAGAAAUAGAUCAACUUUGUUCAGCUCCAAUGUCAAUUUUUCUACCUUCGACAAUUGAGAGUACUGCCUCUCAAAUUCCUUUAGUAACUCUGUUGCUUACAAAUUCUUGUUGGGCCGUUCAAUCCAUUCCAGAAACAGCUUCUUAGUAAUGCGAUCAGCAUCUUCCAAGAAAUAUUCGUCUUUCAAUGCAUGUAAAAAAACCUCCCAUGAAUUCCCAUAAUGAUUUGUAAUCGAUGUAAUGUAGUCUCUUAUCUCCUGUAUCGUCGCAAGUCCAAAUAGUGCAACCAUUUUCUUCUCAGAAACCCGAUUUAAUUCCAUUUCAUGAACAUAAUAUCUUAAAUACCUUGAAAUAUUCGUUCCAUGAAAUUGAUCAAUUUUAUUGACCACUGCUUGCAAUGCUUUGGUUGCCAAAGCUUCCUUUCAAUCAUUACUUUGUUGUUGCUGCAUUGAUAAUGAGAAGGCUUGAAACAUACUAGCAAUAGACGGAUCCAUGUGCAUACCUUGUCCUUUAGAAGACUCCCUACCAGAAACUCCUCCCAAAAAUCCUUCAAAAUUUUUAUUUUCGUUUUCCAUAAAAUAAAGAUAAAAUCAACCGAAAUCCAAUACCUUCCACCUCAAGCUUUCACGUCCAGUUCACCACUUUUGUCAUAUUACGUGCUUUCCUGCUCGAGAACGCGCCGGGCGUCUAGCUGUAGAAGGUAGUAUGGAGAUUUGCCAAUAGUCAAGCAGUCUAUCAGUUUUUGACUGUUAGAAUAUAAACGACUGCAAGAAUACACCGUAAAUCUAUACGGAUGCCCCUUCGACUACUCGCCGAAGUCCUUUUUAUCCCGGCCGGUAGGUCUCUAAACGUUACAGAGAACCCCGAACAACCCAAACUGUUAAUCUUCGGUAUCGGUGUCCUAUUACAUGCUUUCCUGCUCGAGAUCGUGCCGCGCGUCUAGCUAUAGAAGGUAGUAUGGAGAUUCACCAAUAGUCAAGCAGUCUAUCAGUUUUUGACUGCUGGAAUAUAAACGACUGCAAGAAUACACCGUAAAUCUAUACGGAUGCCCUUCGACUGCUUGUUGAAGUCCUUUUUGCCCCAUUCGGUAGGUCUCUAGACGUUACAAAGAACCCCGAACAACCCAAUCUGCUAAUCUCCGAUACCGCUUUGUACUUACGAUCUUGUAUCCACUGACUAUCUUGUUAGAUUAACCCAAUAAAUUUCAUUCAGUCCGCAUACUCAAUCCUAUAGACACUCUUUUAAUUCUUCAAUCACAGACAUAACUCGAUUUCACAAAACAGUCAAGAGUAAUCAAACCCACUUCAUUAAAAAAUCUCGAUUCACCAUUACAACACUGACUUCAGCAAUGAUUGCCUCAGUCUUCCCAAAACUCUAUGAAGAAGAAAAAUCCAAUUCUCCGUCUUUUCUUCCCCGACCCGAAGCAUGAAGCUCCUCUCCAAUCCCCUUGAUCUUCAAAAACCUCUAAUAAAACCGAACUAGUAACCUUGCAAAGAGCUUGAAGCUAGCUCUUCGAUCCAAAAACCCCCCCCAAAAUUUAUUCUCCCCCUAACCUUAUCCUCUGAAUUUCUUCAAUCUUCCGUCUUGGAUCCGAAAUUUACUCCCACCGUCAGAGCUUAGAUCCGAAAUUGGCUCUCGCCCUCAAGGCUUAGAUCCAAAUUUGGUUCUCGCCGUGAGAGCUUUCUCUUCCAUUUUUACCUUUAAGAAAUCUAUUUAUCGAAAACAAUGUUCCCUGAAACGGCACAGAGAAUAGGACAGCUUGAAACAGAAUCGAAACCCCGUACUCGGGUCCACAUUGAGUCGCCCGACCAAUUCAGGUCUCAUAUUGGGUAAGAUGCCCGUAGUAACCUGGAUGUUUGCGUAAUUGGGUCCAAUUGGUCAUCACGUUAGAUUGGCUAAGGCCCGUAGUAAGACCUAGAUUUUCCCGUAAUUAGACUGCAUUGGGUUGCCCGGCCAAUUCAGGUCUCAUAUUGGAUAAGAGGACCCGGAUUGAAUUCUUGAAAUUGGAUCCAAUUGGCUCUUCGAACCAGGCUCACCCGUCGUGUGAAUUGGUCCUUUCUCUUCCUGCUGACUCCCGUUAAUGGAAUCGAACGGAGCAUUUCAGUAUCCCCCGGCUGACUAUAACGGGGUGACUCAACCUGGCCACUCAAUAUUUGCACCGGAGUUGGUUGUUGCUCCCAAUAUUCGAGGUAACUGAACAUUAAUAAAAGUCCCCUUUCUUUAUAUUUUCACGGUAUACUCGUAUUACAACACGACACCAAAGAUUAGCAGUUUGGGUUGUUCGGGGUUCUCUGUAAUGUCUAGAGACCUACCGGCUGGAACAAAAAGGACUUUGGUGAGCAGUCGAAGGGCAUCCGUAUAGAUUUGCGGUGUAUUCUUACAGUUGUUUAUAUUCCAACAGUCAAAAACCGAUAGACUAUUUGAAUAUUAGCAAAUCUCCAUACUACCUUCUACAGCCAGACGCCCGGCGCGUUCUCGAGCAGAAAAGCACGUAAUACGACACCGUGAAGUGUGAUAACGACAUGUUUCAAUGUCGCCAAGACCAACGCUCAAGACAACAUAUGGCUCACCAUAUUCCAACUAUGUCAACAAGCAGCCUAAAUUUACAUACAGAGAUAGAAGAUUUGCAAAUUGACACAGUUUGUGUCAAAUCUCUAACUCUAGAAGAAAAACAGUGAUGUAUGGAGGAAGGACUAUGCUUGUAUUGUACUAAAGAAGGCCAUAGAGCUGGAAACUAUCCCAAGAAGUAAAAUCAAUGCAUUGUCGGGACCAAAUGCUUGUUUGUUCACAAAAACAAAGAUACCCAGCCACAAUAAGGACUGUGCGGGUGGACAAUUCAAUACCACAACAACAAUCAAGUUCCUCUCUUUUCGCUCAGCUUGUCCAUUGCUUUAACAUUCCUUUAUCUUUUGGCCUUUAAAAACUAAAAACCUUAGUGUUAUUAGAUUCAGGAGCAUUUGCUUUCUUUUUAGACAAAGAAUUUAGUAACCAUCAUGAGCUUCUUCUAGUACAAAAAUCUAAACUCGUUCACAUAGAAGUAAUAGAUGGACGACCUUUAUUGUCUGGUAGUAUCACCCAUGAAUCAGAACCUAUAGAGGUGACGUUUAAAGACCAUAGUAGUUAUAUUAUUUUUAAUUUUAUUAGAACCUCGUCAAACCUUGUUAUUCUUGGUCUUUCUUGGUUAAAAAUGCAUAAUCCAUCCAUAGAUUGGAAGUUAUGAAGGAUGACAUUUCCUAUAGAAUAUUUUGAAAGUAAGCCUAUUAAAAGAUUUUGAAUCAAAAAAUCCUUAUUUAUUGGAGCGAGAGUGCUUAUAUUAUCAUCUAAAGAAGGUACACCGUUUUUCAUUUAUGCGACUCCAACUAGAAGAGAGAAGAUUUCAACAACAAAUAUAUUGGAGCAAUAUAAGGAUUUUGAAGAUGUGUUUCAAAAGAAGAAUGCCGACAUGCUACCAGAGCAUCGACCAUACGAUUAAACCAUAGACUUGCAGGAAGGAGCACAACCACUUUUUGGCCCAAUCUACAAUUUGUUGCAGAUGGAGUUAGUGGAGUUACGAAAGUAUAUUGAUGAGAAUCUAUCUAAAAACUUCAUUCAUUAUUCAAAGUCGCCAGAUGGGACACCAAUCUUAUUUGUGAAGAAGAAAGAUGGCUCACUGCGUAUAUGCAUGGAUUAUCGAGGUCUCAACAAGGUAACAAAGAAGAAUCGUUAUCCAUUAUCUUUGAUAUUAGGUCUUCUAGAGUAACUUGGGAGUGCAAGGAUCUUUACAAGGAUUGAUAUAAGAGGAGCUUACAACCUUGUAUGAAUUAAGGAAGGAGAUGAAUAGAAGACAACUUUUCGUACAAGGUAUGGCCAUUUUGAAUAUAAUGUCAUGUCUUUCGGUCUUAUCAAUGCUCCAGUGAUCUUUCAACAUAUGAUGAAUGACAUCUUUCGAGAGCACCUUGAUGAUUUUUUUGUCAUCUAUCUAGAUGAUAUUUUGAUAUUUUUCAAGAAUGUAGAAGAGCAUGAAAAACAUGUUUGUCUGGUCUUUGAAAAACUCCGCGAGCAAGGACUUUACGCCAAGUUAGAGAAGUGCUUGUUUAACCAAAUUGAGAUGGAAUUUUAGGAAUUCAUUACAACUAUGGAAGGCUUGAAGAUGGAUCGUAAGAAGGUGGAAGCAAUCGUAUCAUGGAAAGUUCCAAAGACAAUUAGAGAUGUACAAUGCUUUCUUGGCUUUGCUAACUUAUAUCGGAUCUUCAUCAAGAAUUAUUCUCAAGUUGCUGCUUUGCUCACUCGAUUGACAUGUAAAGACAAGCUCGAAUGGAGACCUCUAGUAAAAAAAGCAUUUCAAGAUCUUAAGACGGUAUUUACUAUGGCUCCAGUCUUGAUACAUCCAGACUUUACAAAGGCCUUCUAUUUGGAGAUCGAUGCUUUAGAUUUUGCUAUGGAAGUUGUACUUUUGCAGAUAGACACAAACGAGAAGCUUCAUCCAGUUGCGUUCUACUAUCAGAAGUUUUCUGCUAUUGAGAUCAACUAUGAAAUCCAUGACAAAGAACUUCUUACGAUAGUAGAUUCUUUUCAAAAGUGGCAUCACUUUUUCAAAAGAGUUGCGCAUCUGGUGACCUUAUAUACGGAUCACAAGAAUUUGGAGUACUUCAUAUUGACUCAGGUUCUGAAUCAACGUCAAGCUCGAUGGAAUAUGUUGCUAUCCAGAUUUGACUUUGUUAUUACUUAUUGGCUUAGAAAGCAACAAGGACUAUCCGAUGCAUUAUUAAAAAGAUCCUAUCUAGCACCAAAGGCUGGAGAAGUAGUUUUUGAUCAAUAGUGUACAACAUUAUUGAAAUUGGAACAAUUUAGGCUUUGCUCUACUAUAGUGCCAAUUGAUGCUGACUUCCUCAACUAUAUACGUACUGCGACUAUUGAAGAUUCUGUAGCCCUCGAUAUCACGCUGUCGUAAUGUAAAAGCUUAUAGUAUGUAAAAAUUAAUUAGAACAUAUAAUAUGUUCAUAAGUCUUUGUGUAUGUUAGAAUGGUUAAAUAGAUUAAUUUAAAGAGAGUGGAUUUAAGAAAUUUUAUUUUGAGUUUAGCUUUUUACUUAUAGCAUUUCAAAAAAAAAUUUAUAGAAUCUGAAUGUUUAGUAUGGAGCCUUGAGAGGAGAUUAGAGCUUAAAGAAGAAAUUCUUAACUAGUAGGAGGCUUAUUGGAAGGAAUGAAACGAAGGCAUGGUUGGAUGAAGGCAAGGAAUGGAAAACUUCAUUCCUAUUGACCGAAGGCCAUGCCCAAUGGAUUUCAAGGAGGCUACCCGAGGCCUUAUUAGGGAUUAGGGUUUUUCUUUCGACAUCAUUCGAGAUUUUGAGGCUAGGAUCAGCAAGUUCAAGGUUUUGGAUAUAAUUUGGGUGAAGAAUUUGUGUGAUUUCGAGUUUUUAUGAAGGAGAUAUAGGUGUUCAAAUUUAAGGUGACAAAUUUGUACCUACUGUCACUCUUUGAAGUAUAACAUAUGCGUACGGAGAGCAAUGAAAUUUCGGCGAUUAAAUUUGGAGAGAGCACUUUCUUGGCUAUACUUUAUAUAUAUUUUUUGACAAAUUCCAAGUCUGGAUAAAGGAGUUAUAGGGCAUUGAAGACAGCACAUGUAAUUCAAAGGCAGUAAGUGAGUCAUUUUAUUGAUAGUAAUGUUUGGAGCCAUAUCUUGAGUUCUUGGAUGAAUUUUUGGCUCAAAAUUUCCAUAAGUGUGAAUUAUUAAGUCAAGAAGCUAUAGAUCAAAGUUUCAUGGUAUUUAAGUACUUAUUUUGUGAGAUAUGAAGAAAUUAGCAUGCAUGUGUAAGUAAGCUGGGGUUUAUACCUAUUAUAAGGGUUUUGACAAUAUCUCAAGAUCUGUAACGAAUUUGUAGUUGAAUUUUUUUGUGAAAGUUUUUGAAAGUAUAUCAAUACUUCAUGUAAAAUUUAAGGUUUUUUGGAUAGUCCAAUCAUGAGAUAUAAGCUGUUGAAGUUCGAAAAACAUCUCUCACAAGGAUAUAUAAGGUUUUAAGUUCUUUAUCAUACAUUUGGGUGUUUUCUUGGUACUUGGGCUUGUGUUUUGAUGUAAUUGCCCCAAAAGAGAAAAUGUUACAUGUAUAAACUUGGUUUUUUAUAUCUUAGACUUAAUUGAGUAUUUAGUGGCAGCUAGAAGUUCAACGCUUUCUUGAAGCAAACUCUCUCUACUCCCACAAUGCAACAAAUCAAUAAUGACAAGUUCAAGGUGGAAGGAGAUCUUUUAUACUUUGAGGAGCAGUUGUAUAUUCCAAAGGGACCAGCACGACUCCAAGUUCUUCAAUCUCGACACAACUUUCUAACUGAUGGAUAUUUUGGAUUCAAUAAGACCUUGGAAUUUAUUUCUCGAGAUUUUUGGUGGUCCCAAAUGUGGAAAGAUGUCAAGGAUUUUGUCUUCUCCUGUGAUGUUUGUUCAAGAUUCAAGAAUGCUCGGCAUCAUCCUUAUGGUCUUCUUCAGCCAUUGCCUAUUCCAUGUUGGUCAUGGUCUUCAGUUUCCAUGGACUUCAUUAUGGACCUACCGCCAUCAAAUUCAUUUGACAAUAUCUUUGUUGCUGUAGAUUAGCUUACAAAGAUGGCACACUUUGUCCCUUACAAGAAAACAUCAUCAAGCAAAGACACAGUAAGGCUCUUCUUUGAUAGUAUGUAUAGAUAUCAUGGUUUACCACAUGAAAUCAUGUCGGAUCGAGGAACCCAAUUCAUAUCAAAGUUUUGGAGAUCUCUCUUUGAGAUAUUGAAGGUAGAUAUCAACCUUUCUUCGGCUUUCCAUCUUCAAACUGACGGCCAAAUGGAACGGGUGAAUCAAAUUUUGGAAUAGUAUUUAUGAUGCAGCAUCAAUUAUCAAUAAGAUGAUUGGACUACAUAUCUAUUGUUAGUCGAGUUUGUAUAUAACAACACCUUUCAUGCAUCCACUCAACAAACACCAUUCUUUUUCAACUAUGGGUAUCAUCCAAAGCUUGAUUUGUUGAGUCCGUCAACCAAUAACAACUUGACAGCUAAAAGAUUUGUGAAACAAUUAUCGAAGCUUCAAACUACAUUGAAGCUUCAAUUGCAAACCCUCGAAGAAGCUUAAAAGGCAUCUAUAGAUAAAUUUUGAAAUCAGACACCUACUUUCAAAAUUGAAGAUAAAAUAUGGUUGCUUUGAUGAAAUAUCAAAACCAAGUGACUAUGUGAUAAGUUGGACUACUAGAGAUUGGGAUCAUUUGUCAUCCAGAAGCAAAUUAAUCUAGUGGCGUACCAUCUAGGAUUACCGGCUGCUAUGAAGGUACAUUCAGUCUUUCAUGUUUCUUUAUUGGCAUCUUAUUGAGAGUCGUCUUAUUCUAAAAGAGUGCAAUGUCUGCCACCUAGUAUUGAAAUUGAAAAUCACAAGGAAUACAAGGUGGAAAAGGUACUAGAUUUGUGGCACAAGUGGAAAAAAUUGGAAUAUCUAGUGCAUUAGAGCGGCUAUGAUAUCAAUGAGCACACAUAGAAACCAGUGAAAAAUCUUAUCAAUGCAUUACAAAAGGUAUAGGAGUUUCAUUGAUACUAUCCUCAGAAACCUAAGUCCUUUCAAUGAAAGUUUUUCAGUGAAGUUCCAUCUCCUUGAAGCCUCUUAAUCCUCGACCUUAUCAAGAAGGGGGAGAAGGAACCUCUAAAAGACAUAGUUAGAGACUAUAAAUCUGUAACUUGAGCCCAUUCUUCCAUGUUUAGUGCUUAUUUUUUUAGUCUAAUAUAGAUAGCCAAGAGAUAGAUACCAUAUUAAUCAUGUCCUCUCAAUUGAGUAUGUCACAAAGACGACCCCGAGAUGAAGAACUGCUUGUACUACGAAGAUGAUAGAGGGUACUUAGUAAUAGGUCACUAGUGAUUGUAUUUGAGGUAGAACCUACCUAUGGUGAUCUUCUCAAAGGAGUGUUUGUAGGGCAUUUUCACAAUGAAGAUACGAAAGUUCAUGCCUGGUCAAAAAUCGAAGGCAUAGGACACUAUUGUUGGUUACAAGGACCAAUGAACUAUUUUUUGUGCUAACAAAAAUUGGAGAAUAUUACAAACACUAUGCGACAAAUUUUUAACUUCUUACAUUGGUACUGACUCGCAAUAGGAGUGCUUCUCGGAGACCUCAAAGCUAAAGGGAAGAGGUGAUGUCAAGGACAUACACUAGGAAGUUGUAGAAGUUUCUAGAGAAGCUUUGUAGUUUGUAGAAGCUACUUGAGAAGUUUUUAGGCUCGUGGAAGUUGCUUGAGAAGCUUCUUAGCUUGUCGAAGUUGCUUGAGAAGCUUUCUAAGUCAUAGAAACUGCUUGAGAAGCUUCCAAGUUUGUGCAAGCUACUUGAGAAGCUUCCUAGCUUGUAGUAUAUAUAGGAGCUAAGACUGAGGAGAUUCUUAGUCUCAAAAAUACACCUCUUGGAGCUCUAGCUCACCUCUCUAGUAUUAUUCUUGUACUCAUCUGAUUAAUCUAGUUCUUGUCGAUUCUUCUUGAGUUUCUUGUUUAGAUUUUCAGUUAGUAUUCUAAAUUCGUGAUAGUCAAUAUAUAAAUUUGAAAUCAAAUCUUCAUAAUGACAUACUCCAAUGGACUUAGCAAUGAUUCAAAAUACGUAACAAUAUGAAAUAUUUGAGGUUCUUGUGAUUUAUAUAUACUAUGAUUGGAUUUGAAGCGCCUUCUAGAUAAUGACACCAUUCUUAAAAUAAAUCCAUAAUUGCAAGAAUUUCUUUAUUAUGGAUCUUAUAGUUAAUCUUGCCUACUGAAAAAUUCUUGGAAUAAAAAGCUAUUGAAUGGAAUUUGUCAUUUGUUUCCAUUUGUGAUAAUACUAUAUCCAAAGUAAAAUUUGAUGCAUCUGUUUCCAUAAAGAAUGCCUUAGAAUGUCAAUGCGAUACAAAAUUGGUGCAGAAGUAAAUUUCUUCUUCAAAGCAACAAACAAUGCUUCAACUUUUUUAUUCUACUUAAGUUUGUCUUUACAAGUCAAAUGUGUAAGUGGAGUUGUAACUUGAGAAAAGUUCUUGAUAAGAUUUGAUAAUAAUUGGCAAAGCUCAAAAAGCAUUGCACAUCUCUUAUUGUUCUUGGAAACUUCCAAUCUAUGAUAGUUUGGACCUUCUUUACAUCUAUCAUAAGGCCUUCAUUGGAAAUGAUGUAUUCCAAAAAAUCAACUUGAGUAGUAUGGAAUACACACUUUUCCAUCUUUGCAUAUAAUCUUGUAUCUCUUAGUUUUUGUAACACACGACAAAUAUGAACUUCAUGCUCUUUUGUGUUCUAAGAAUAGAUUAAAAUAUCAUUCAAAUAAUAGAUGAUAAAAUCUUUAAGAAACUCAUGAAAGACAUCAUUCAUUAGAUGUUAAAAAAUAGCUGAUGCAUUUGUGAGUCCAAAAAGCAUGAUAUUAUAAUCAAAAUGUUCCUACUUAGUUUGGAAAGCAGUCUUCUAUUCAUCUCCUUCUUUGAUGUGGAUCAAGUUAUAUGCUCCUCGUAGAUCUAUUUUUGUAUAGAUAUUUGCUUGAUUUAAUUGAUAAAAAAGUCCUAAAAUUAUUAUAUUUUUUGUGUAUAAUUUGGCAAUUAAGACUAUCUAGAUAAAUAAUUUUAUUGGAAAUACAAUAAUUACUCUUGAAACACAAGAUUCUAAUCAUUUUUAUAAUUAAUAAUUAUAGUGAUAAUAAUAGUUAUUAUUUUUAACACAAUUAUUAUAAAAUGAUUUUUUCUUAUUUUUAUUGUCAUUCAAUAAAUUUCAUUCUUUUCUAUAAUUUAGAAAUAAUUGAUUUCUUUUAAAAGAAUCCAAAAUGAACUUGGUUUUUUCUUUAUUAAUAAUAAUUGAUUUUUCCAAACAAACAAGGAAUUACUUUGACUUCCUCUAAAUUGUCAUCUUUUAUGUUGUUCUAAUCUUGUCAUACAGAUGAUAUCCAUGGAAAAUUUGAUCUAAAAUCAUGGAAGUGGCUCCACUUCUUCAAGUCAAAAUAUAAUCAAAACAUAAUAUAAUAUAUUCUUGAAAAUAAUUUAAGGCUAGCACAAAUGUUGUUAUGAAAAUAAAUCUAAACAGAUACUUUUACGAGUAAAACAAACACCAUAAGAAAUAAGAAAAUAUAUCCAACUAAAGUAGUAUUCAAACAAAACAAGAACAAACAAACAAACAAACAAACAAAAUGUAUACAAUACAAGAGAAACCAAGAUCAUAAGAUAACUCUCAGCAAAUUCAAAAGAAAAAGACUGCUCUGUAACAAAUAUUAAGGUGAAUUACAAUCAGAUCGAACAAAAAUAUUAAAAAGAAAAUCAUGUUAACAAUUUACUCGGUUUGGGUUACAUGAAGAUUGGAAGAACAUCUUCAAAUCCCAGCAUGCACCGGCAAAAAUUCUAAACUCUUCUACCAACCAGUAAAAAAAUAAAAAUAAAAAACAACCUCAGUUUGAUUUGGCGAUACACUAUUCAUUUCAACUAAUACUUUCACUUUAAUUCCGUUGCUUUACAACCACAUUCUUUCGCAUUCCAGGGCCAAAAUAUCCCCCCCCCCAAUCCAGUCACAGCUCCACAUCACCUCAAGGACCAGAACAACUCUGAGAAAACAAAGCACCUUCACAUUCUACGCGAAAGGGAGCAAACAUAAAACAGGCACGUGCGUGCAAUUGGAAUGGGGCCGAGACUACGCCCCUUGCACAAGAAGCAUGAAUAAGAAUACCAACUGUGCAUCCAGAAAAUCCCAGAACCCAUUAGAAACGAAACACAGACAGAGAUGAGGAGACCGGAAGCUGAAAUGAAAAAGACGGCGGGCCCAGCUUGGAUGUGACCACUCACCAACCAAAGCAUAUGCCGCACAUUCAAGGCAGGGCAGCUCGGGGGCUGGGAGGGAGGCAGCUUGUGAAAGGAGACCCGGUCCAAGGAAUGCGUGACGCAGUAAUACCGCCACGGAUCGAGGAUACCGCCAACUCUGUGAUUGGGCGCCCCCACCUCACCCCCGGCUUCCCCGGCUCCUUCCUGGUCCUGAACCCGACCCGACCCGGCCCGCUGCGCCCCCACCCUGCCCCCACGGAUGGCUAUGCCAUGCCCUCUCUAGAACUGGGGUGCCACUAAGUUACUGGUGCUGGUGGAAGUGCCAUCAUCCAUCGUCAUGGCCAUCAUCCAUCGUUAUGGCCAUCAUCCAUCGUCCUUCCUACCUUCCUAUGUACCGUGCCCCCCUAGCCUUGAAGGGCAAGCUAACAACCUCAGCGAUUCAUCCCCCCCCCCCCCUUUGGUCAAUGGAGCGCCCUUGACCGCAAACAAGCAAAAUCCAGACAGACAGGCUCCCGUCCGGACUCUCUCUCUCCUCUAUAAGAACCCCGUGGCGGUAGAGCGCUGCAGUCAUCCGAUUGAUUCUCCUGCUCCUCCACCUCCUUCACCCAACAAGUGUUGUGUUGCUCGCGGAGUGACUAGCUUACCGUUCUUUCAUUCUCUCUUGCGCGGAUCGUUUGGUUGCAUUCAUUCGUCGAUCGCAGGCUCAGAGUCCGAAUUCCAACAAUGGCAGCGGGUCACGGUGUUUCUGUGCAGAGGAUGGGCAGGUCGCGGAGGGCUGCCCCCAGACGAGGCCAGGUGAAGGCUGCCAUAGCCCUCUCCCUGCUGCAUUCCCUUUCGUCCGCUGUCCUGAGGACUCGCUCCGCGGUGUCCCGCUCCCGCCGGCCGUUCUCGUGGCACAGCAGCUGAGGCGCGGGCGAGGCGACCCGUGCGUGGUCGCGCUGAGCGAUGGUAAUUGGAAUUUGAAUGGAACGGCCACACCACAGGUAUGGCGAUCGCGGGGCGCUUCUCCGGCAGAGCGCACCCGAAAUGGGGACCCCGCCGCCUGUCGCGGCGCCAGCUCCAGCGCGUCGUGUUUCACGUCAUGUUUACACGUCGAGGUUUGCUCGGAACAGGAUGCGCGACGAGUCCGAGCGUCCGUCGGACGGGGUUCGAUACAUUUUUCGUAGGCAUUCGAUGCAGGGAAGAGGGGAUUGGGGAUUGGUUGAUUGAGAACCAAGGAAGCGUGGUGCGCGACCCCAUGAGCAGGAGUACGUCCCGAUGAUGGGGGUGGGAGGGCCCCGGGAGGGGCUUCACUGUCGACUCGACGGUCGCCUUGUGUGCGUCACGCUUGCCGUGCUAGGUGUUUAGACAUCAUUGCUUGGCAUCAUCGUGCCAAGUUCGUGAGCAUGAUCGACCCGCAGUCGAUCAUUGAGUGUGCCAUACGCUGUACAUUGCUGUACGUAUUUUUGUGAAAUGAAAACACGGUCCGGGAUUUGAAUGCAAGAGACUUGGGUAUGGAUGAGGCAUAUUCCUGGUGUAUUGGAGUUUGAUGGUGGUUGCAGUAUUGGAGUCCGAUGUGCUGUGUCUUGCAUGAUCCGGGUCCCAUAUGGACAAGCACACUGCAUGUGGAUGGCAAGUCCGGUGUAAGGAGUCGCAUUGGAGUGAGGAAAAUUAUAGACGUUUUUUUAGAGAGGUGGUAUUUCACCUAGAUCUUGACGAGUUUGUACAUGUUGUCAAUUUUAAUGUAUGUCUUGUUAAGUUCUGGUUACAUAUUAUUAGGCGGGUUGAUUUUGUUUGAGAUUUACCGUGUUUUGUGACAUUUGUACUGUUCAGUACUUUUGUAUAUGAGAUUAAAUGCUGUUCAGUGGGAGUGAUAGAGGAUUUAGUUAUUGUUUUUGGAAAUUUAAUUUGUAUCUCUAAGGAACGUCGUUUGGUGAUUUUGCUUAGACUCCAAUUCUGCCUCGAUGAAAACUUCAAAAAAGGAAAGGAAAAAAUUAUCUGUUUUUAUUUGUGGUUGAAGUCGAGAUUCUUGCAUCAGGAAAUGCUUCUGACAUCUCUUUGGAAUCCACUUGUCGUGUUUUCCUAGUUUCGCCGUGCACCGCAGUCCCUCGAUUGCAAGCGAUUCUUAAUUUGGAGCGCCAUUCUGGCACAAUUCCAGUCCAGCAGAGCUCUGCCGGGAAGCCGAACACCCCUUCCAACCAUAUCUUAAGAUCAAAUACCCCUUGCGCACCAUCUGCCUCACUCCUUCAUUUUAGAAUGUAACCUUCGACCCCAAGUUUCACUCGAACCACACCCCGUGGUUAUUUACGUAAUGCAAACAGUGUGCUCUGUAUCUUUUGCUUCACAAAUCAACUAAUUACUUCACACCAAUACAAAUUGAUAUUUCGGCUACAUGUGUUGGAAAUUUGACACAAUGUUCAUAAGAAUAAUAUAUUUUGUUACAAUGAUACAAUCUUAUCAUGACCGAUAGUAGUCAUAUACUGUAAAUUUUUGCAAAAUAAUGCUAAAAUUUAGGUCACUGUGUGUUUAAUUGUGAAUUGAAAACGUGGCAAUAUUUUGAAACAGGCUGAGAAAAGAUUUCACACUCUUCUCUCUUUAUGUCAAAGUUUGAAUCUUUAGCACAUCUGCUCCCCGUCCACAAAGUGUAUCUUUGAUGUUUUGUGAAAUCCAUUGAUUAGCACAGUCAACACCAAAUUCGAAUUAUUAUUCUGAUAUUCUCUCCUCUCCAAGUGAGAAUGUUUAUUCUAUUGAGUGGGUUUAAUCUGUUGUAGAAUUAAAUGUCCCAAAGCAUAACUUUAACACUUAACAUAUACACAUUGAUUUAUGUAGAUUAUUUAAUUUUUGGAUGAAACAGUGUGAAUUUUGUUUUCUAAGCAAAAAGUAGACAAAUUUUUGGAAUGCUUAUCAAUUACGUACAUGUGUAAUAUAUAAAAUAUAAAAUAUACUACAGUCUUUUUGCAUUUAACACUUUCAAAUAUCAAUAAUUCCAUUUUUGUAUUUUAGUGAUUUUGGGAUGUUUUUAUUUAUUUACUUAUUUAUUUAUUUUAUUCGUGAUUUUGGCAGCACCAGACAAACAUAAUUCUGUUAUGUUUUAGAUGUAUUUCUUUUUUCUUUUUUAUUUCAUUUUAUUUUACAACGUGAUAUUUAAUAUAUAUAUAUAUAUAUAUAUAUAAUUAAUAUCUUUUUAUAUAAAUAUACAUAUAUAUAUAUAAUAUGUAUUAUAUAUUUUUAAUUAAUAAAUUAUAAGUUGUAUUUAGAAUUUAUAUUAAUGUCUUUAAUUUGAAUGUUUUAUAUUAAAAAAACUAUUUAAGAGAAUGUUAAGUAGACUUAAGUUUUUACUAUAUUGACCCACCUAUCUUAACCAUCAUGAAAAAAAUAAUGACCUCUAGGUUUAUUUCUCCACUAUUGGAUCUACAAGCAAUAAAAAUCAACCACAUUCAUCAUGAUUACUAUAUUCUUUGUUAGAAGUGGAUCUAUUUACUAAAAGCAUAGAUUUGAUUAAUAUUCUCCUUUAUUUAUUAUAGUUUAUAAUAACCAAAAUUUUUAUUUUUGAAGGUUAUGUAUAUUUUUUCAUAUAAUAUUUUAUAAUUUAUAUAUAAGUUCUUUUAUUAUUAAAUUUUUUUCUAUAAUAUUUUAUUUAAGUAAAAACUCAAAUCAAGUAUUGUUAAAGAAGUAAGAUUUGCUAUUUCAUUUGACAAGCUUGUUAAGCUGAGCUAUCACUCAAAUAAAGUCUUAUCAAAGAAGAAAGAUUUGCCAAUUCAUUUGGCAAGCUCAUUAAGCUUGAGCAUUCACUCAAAUUAAGUCUUCUUAAAGAAGAAAGAUUUAUCAAUUCAUUUGGCAAGGUUAUCAAAAUUGAGCAACCACUCAAAUUAAGUGUAAUCAAAGAAGAAAAAUUUGAUAAUUCAUUUACCAAGCUUGUCAUGCUUGACCAACCACUCAAAUAAAUUGUUGUCAAAGAAGAAAGAUUUGCCAAUUCAUUUGGCAAGCUGGUCAAGCUUGAGGAACCACUCAAAUAAAGUGUUAUCAAAGAAGAAAGAUUUAUCAAUUCAUUUGGCAAGCUUAUCAAAUUUAAAGAACCACUAAAAUCAAGACUUUUCAAAGAAGAAAGAUUUGUCAAUUCAUUUGGCAAGCUUAUCAAAUUUGAGCAAUUACUCUAAUAAAGUGUUGUCAAAGAAGAAAGAUUUGCCAAUUUAUUUGGCAAGCUUAUCAAGCAAUACUAUCUACUCAAAUAAAGUAUUGUCAAAGAAGAAAGAUUUACUAAUUCAUUUGGCAAGCUUAUCAAGCUUAAAGAACCACUCAAAUCAAGACUUCUCAAAGAAAAAAGAUUUGUCAAUUCAUUUGGCAAGCUUAUCAAAUUUGAGCAACUACUCUAAUAAAGUGUUGUCAAAGAAGAAAGAUUUGCCAAUUUAUUUGGCAAGCUUGUGAAGCAAUACCAUCUACUUAAAUAAAGUGUUGUCAAAGAAGAAAGAUUUGCCAAUUCCUUUGACAAUCUUUGUUAGACACUAUAGACAAGAUAAGGAUUUAAGACAAAGAAAUAGAGUUUGCUUGACAUUAGAACAAUAACUGAAUACAAGGCAAGAAGGUCCUAAUUAGACUACAAAAAGUGACUUGUCGAGAUUGAGAAUCUCCUCAGCCUCAAUUCUUAUAUGUACCAGGUCCUAAGAAGCUUCUUAAAAAAUUUCUAUGAGGCUUGGAAAUAAAGCAAGCCUAAGAUCUUUCUUCGGCAACUUCCUAAAUCAUCUAAAGUCUCCUAAACUAUUUUAGGAACUUCUAUGACAUUUUAAAACUUUCUUAGGAUCUACUAAAACCUUUUAGAAUCUUUUUAGAACCUAUUGGAAUCUUUUAGAAUCUUUUAAAACCUUCUUGGAUCUACAAGAUCAUUCUUAGAAUCUUUUAGAACCUCUUAGAAUCUUCUCAAACUUUCUUCAGUUGUAUGUCCAUGACAUCACCUUGUCCUCUAGCUUUGAGGUCUCUAAGAAGCAAUGUUGCUGCAAGUCAGUAUAUGUGCAAGAAGUUAAAGAUCUAUUGUAUGGUGUCUAUUAUAUAUUCUAGUUAUUUUUUGCAAGAAAAAUGGUUCAUAAGCCCCUAUAGUCAUCGAUAGUACCUCAAGUCUUCUACUUGUAAUCACUCAUGAACUUUGAUAUCUUUGUUAUAGAAUUGUCUUAUAAAUACUUCUUUUGGAUAUCUUUCAUAGGCAGGUUCUACCUCAAAUAUAAUUACCAAUGACCUAUUAUUAGAUAUUCUUUGAUAUCUUUAUGGUUCAAGUGGCUCUUCAUUUUGAGGUCGUCUUUAGAAGCUAUUUAGUUGAGAUGGUAUGACCUGCAAGGUGUCUAUCUCUUAAUUAUCUAUAUCACAUAGAAUACAUAAGAUCAAAAGAAUAUAAAUAAGCUAUGGUCGUGAACUUAAACUACUAACUUAUACUAUUCUAACAUUUGAAAAAACUACCUCUUCAAAGGCUACCUCUUCUCCUUCUUUAUGAAGCCAAGAACUAAGAGGAGUCUUCAUGGUGAAGUCAUCUUAUCAAGCUAGUAUUCUUUAUUUUUCUAUUUUUGGUCUAAAUAGAUGUCAUUGAUAGAAAUUUUGAAUCUUCAUUUGUAUAUUUAUAAGAUUACCAGCUAAUUCAUAUAUGUAAUCAUUAAUAUCAUAUUUAUGCCAAUGGACCAUAUAUUCAAGCCUUCCUUGUCUUAUCCUUGAAUCUAAUACCUCCUCUAAGUCAAAUUCAAUAUAAUCAUUGAUUUCAACCAUAGGAGGUGGUGGUUAUCUUUGACUUACUAUGUUUGAUUCUAUAUACCUUUCUAAAAGUGAAAUAUUAAAGACUAAAUGAAUCUUCAUAGAUGAAGGUAAUUCCAAGAAAUAAAUUACGUUAUUAAUUUGUUUUUGAAUCACAAAUGGUUUCAACCUUCGGUAGUCAAACUUAUCACAUGGCCUAUUGGUUUUUAUAUUAUGCCAAAGAAGCCUUAUUUUGUCACCAAUUUAGAAUGAAGGAUGUUCCUUCUUUAAUUCAUCUGCUAGUAGCUUAUAACGUUAUUGAGUCCUUUCUAGAUGAGUCUUUAUGGUUGCAUAAAGUUUGACCAUCUUUGUAGCAAACUCCUCUGCUACUGGAUUUAUUAACUUUAAAGGCUCUAUCAUAUCCAACUUUGGAUGAUGACCAGAGUUUGAGUAGAAUGGCGUUUGUUAUGUAGAUGCAUGAAUUGUGUUGUUAUAUGCAAACUCCGCCAAUGACAAGUAGAAAGUCUAGUCAUCUUAUUAAUAGGUGAUAGUGCAUGUCAAAUAUUGCUAAAAAAUUUGGUUGAUCCACUUCUUUGGCCAUUAGUUUGAGGGUGGAGGGCAGAAGAAAGGUUGAUGUCAAUCUUAAGAAUCUUGAAGAGUGCCUUCCAAAACCUUGAUACAAAUUGUGGUUUACAAUCUAAUACAAUGUCAUUUGGCAACCUGUGGUAAUGAUAGAUAUUAUCAAUGAAGAGUCUUGCUAAUUCUUCACCAGUAAUUGACUUCUUGUAAGAUGUAAAAUUUGCCAUUUUGAUCAAUUGAUCAACAACUACAAAAAAUAGUAUCAAAUGAGCUUGAUGGAAGAAGAUCUGUAAUGAAAUCUAUGGAGAUAGAUGACUAUGAUUGUUUUGAAAUAGGAAGGGAUUGAAGAAGUCCAUAUAGUCGAUGUCGAGGAUUCUUUGACCUUAAACAAGUAUUACAUGAUAGUAAAAAUUCUUUAAUAUCUUUCUAUAUUUUAGGCUACUGAAAAUCUCCAGAUAAAAGUUCCAAGGUCUUAUUGAAUCCAAAAUAUCCGGUUGUAAAGAGGUCAUGGCGUAUUUGAAGAACGUGCAGGCAAGUUGGCCCUUAAUGAAUGAACAAACAUUCUUCAAAGCACAAGAGGUUGCCUUCAUAUUUAAAUUUAGAAGACUCUUCAGGAAGUUUUUUAGCAAGUCGCUUGAUAUUAAGAGUAAGAUGGUCCAUGUUUGAAGCUUUAUAAACUUGAUCAAGAAAUGAUAAAUCCACAGGCAUUGAUAUAUUGAUUGCUCGAAGAUACAAUUGCUCAUGCUUUAAUAUGGUUAUCUAUUAUUGAUCAUAUGUUGCCUUGUUAUCUUUUAAUUCAAGUUAAGAACGUCUUGAUAAUACAUCUGAUAAUUCUUGUUGGCUCUUGAGUUGAUACGUUAUUGUAUUAUGUGAAGUCUUGCUUGAGAAUGCGUUGAGCUUUAAAUUGUGGAAGAUAAAAAUAAUUUGCAACAAUAAGUCCUAAUUAUUUUAAUAAAUUCUUAAAUAAAUUGUAAUUAACGAUUAGUAAAUAUAAUCACAUAAAUCAAAUUUAAUUAAAUUUUAAAGAAAUUAUAUAAGAAAUACAAAGAAUUCCUAAAGAUCUUUAAAGAAAUUAUAAAAAAAUAACAUAUAAAUUUAAAAAAUAUAUAUUAAAAUAGAAAUCUUAAUAAAAUAUUAAAAUAAAAAUCUUAAUUAAAUCCUAGUCAAAAUCUAACCAAAUCUUGGUCAAAUCUUAAUCAAAUCUUAGUCAAGUCUUGAUCAAACCUUGAUCAAAUCCUAGUCAAAUCCUAAAUAAAUCCUAAUCAGCUCAUAAAUAAGCUCUAACCAAAUCCUAAACAAAUCAUAGUCAAAUCUUAGUCAAAUCCUAAUUGAACCUUGAUCAAAUCCCAAAUAAAUCCUAACCAAAUCUUAGACAAAUUUUACUCAAAUCCUAAUCAAAUCCUAGUCAAAUCCUAAUCAAAUUCUAAGUAAAUUCUAAAUAAAUCUUAGUCAAAUCAUAGACAAAUCCUAAAUAAGCCCUAAUCAAACUCUAGACAAAUCUUAGCCAAGCUUAAAUCAAACCAAAAUCCUAAUCCUAACUCUAAAUCAAAUCCUAAUCAAUUCCAAGUAAUUCCUGUAGUAGAUUUAAAUCUAAAUAACUAAUAAAUGAACCAUUGAUUUUAAAUCAAAAUUUAAACAUCUCUUAAAAAUUAAAUUAAAAAUAAGCAAAAAAAUUUGAAGAAGAUGGAACUCACCAAAAAGAAGAUCAAUCCUAAAUUUGCUCAAGUAUUGGCCAUCCUUCUACUCAAAUCUAAAUGAUGAAAUUCCAAUGCCAAAAUCUCCCUUUCAAACUAUUUGAUUGUUUUAAACUUCACAUAUUUUGUAGCAAAUCAAGUCUAAUACCUUCACAAAUAAAAUUUUCUGUAAUUCAAUUAGUAGAUUGCUAAAGAUCUUAGAAACUCUACCUACCUCUUAAAGUUCAAUUUUUGAGACCUCAACCUAUUUGAAAUUCAAUAUUUUUUAAUUCAACUAUUCAAUCAAGCUCAAACUUAUAAUUUAUGUUAAACACAUAUGUAUCUACAAAUUUCCAAAAUUUCACUUAUAGAUCUAUUGCCAAACUUGUAAAAAAUUUCAAAAAAUAUCACCUAUUUUAUUUUAUAUAUCCAAAGUCACCUAAAACAAACCUUAACUUUACAAAGCUCUUACAAAGUCAAUACACACUCAAAUCAUUUAAAAUUAAUUGUAAAAAAAAACUUAUUAAGUUUGCUCCCAAAUUCCAUUCUCUGAUCUCUAAAGAAUUCCAAAAUUAUUAUUAAGACUUGAUUUUGUAGCUUGGGAUUUGAUUUCGAUCUUGGUUGGUAAUUAGUCUUCUCUUUACAUCAAUUAUUAUUCCUUUUGAAAUAAACUUUAUUAAAACCAACUUCCAAUUCUUUCCUACAUAUGUCUAUAUCUUUUAUUUUUUUAAUCUAUCUUAUUUUGCCUUAUUUAUGGUCCUACAAAAUAGGUAGAAGCCACUUUUUUAAAAAAACAUCAUUACUAUUAAAAGUUUUACUAUCUUCUUAUCUUUUAUUCAUAUUUUUUUAUUUUAUCUUUUAACUUGGUUCUUCUAAAAUAAGAUCUAUAUUAUUAUCUUUUACCAUAUGGUCAGAUUAUAAUAUAAAAAUAUAAUGCAAAAGUCAAAUUGUGAUAAAGAUAUACUCCAAUGUACUUGGCAAUGGUUCAAGACUUACUUGACAUAAAAUAUUCAAGAUUCUUGUGCUCUAUAUAUACAAUCACAUGAUAAGAGACACUUUCAAGAAAUUGGUACCAUUCUUAGAAAGAAUCUACAAUAGCAAGUAACUCUUUAUUAUAGAUUUUGUAGUUAAUUUUUUAUUGUUGAGAAUUUUCUAAAUUAAAAUGCAAUUAUAUGAAAUUUUCUAUCUUCUCUAUAUUAUAACAAAACUACUUCCAAUGCAAAGUUUGAGGCAUCAAUCUUCAUAAAAUAGGCCUUGUUGAAAUUUGAAUGUAUCAAAAUUAGAGCUAUUAUGAAAGCAUCUUUUAAGCUUUGAAAAGCUUUCUCUCCUUCGAGGCUCUAGUCCAACUUGUCCUUGCAUGUCAACUACAUAAGUGGAGCAGUGAUCUUAGAGUAAUUUUUAAUAAAAAUCCUAUAGAAGUUUACAAAUCCAAAAAAGCAUUGGACAUCAUGUACAAUUUUUGGCUCUGCCUAAAUUGAUGAUUGCUUAUACCUUAUUUGGAUCCAUAAAAAGGCCUGUAUUGGAAAUAGUAUAUCUCAAAAAUUUGACUUGAAAUAUAUGAAAUAUAUACUUUUCUAAUUUUACAUACAGCCUAGUACUUUGUAGCUUUUUCAACAUAAGAUGGAUAUAUUUUUUGUGGUCUUCUAGAUUCUUGAAAAAGAUUAGAAUAUCAUCCAAAUAGAUUACAAUAAAGUCAUCAAGAUGCUUACAAAAUAUGCAUUCAUUAAGUGUUGGAAUAUGGUUGGUACAUUGGUAAGUCCUAAAAGUAUAACAUUGUCUUCAAAAUAUCCAUACAUGGUGCAAAAUAUUGUCUUCUAUUCAUCUCCUUUCUUAAUGCAUACCAAGUUAUACAUGCCUCAUAGAUUAAUCUUCAUAAAGAUCUUACUUGGCUGAGUUGAUCAAAAAGUUUGGAUAUCAAUGAUAAUGGAUGUCGAUUCUUGACCAUGAUUUUAUUAAGAUCACAAUAAUCAAUAUACAUCUAUAAAGAUCCAUCUUUCUUCUUCACAAAUAAUAUUGGAACACUAAUUGGCAACUUGGAAUAUCAAAUAAAAAUUUUAGCAAGAUUUUCUUUAAUAUACUCUUUUAAAGUCGCAAGUUCAUUAUGGAAUAAAUUAUAAAUGGGUCAAAAUGGUGGUUGAGCACCUUCUUGAAGGUCAAUCAUACAAUCAUAAGAGUCAUGCUUUGGCAAGAUUUCUACAUUUUUUUUUUUUUUUCAAAUAUAUUUAUAAAAUCCUUAUAUGCCUUUGGAAUUGUUGUGGUAUCAACCAUAGGUUCAAAUUUUAGAAUUUUUUUUUUAUAGAUUUGGAGAUUCUAUAAUCUAUUAGAAGAAAUUCUAACUUUUGGAAUAUGCCAUCUAUCUAUAGAUUAUAUUUUUCAAGCCAUGAGAGUCCUAAAAUGACUGGACUUGAUAGGAUCUAAUGACAUUGAAUACUACUUUGCUGCUAUGGUUGUUAAAAGUUAUUUCUAAUGGAAUCAUUUCAGGAGUGACAUCUCCAAAGGAUAAAGGUCGACCAUCUAUUACUUCUACAUGUACAGCUUUGUGUUUUUUGACCAUACAAAUUUUAUGCAAUCUAAAAUAUUCUUUGUCAAUAAAACAUGCAAAGACUCCCGAGUCAAGUUAUGCAUGAUACUCUAGUUUUUUUACUCCUAACUAUACAUGUAUAAUAAAUCAACGGAAAGAGCUGGUAGAGAAUAUAGGCUUUUUUGAUUUGUGAUAGUGAAGAAUUCAGCUACACAGUGUCAUAUGGCAUGAUUUGUAAUCUGAGAAUAUACUAAAUACCUAGUUAUAGAGAGUUUACCUUUGGCUUAUAUAUGAUGUCUUAUCUCCCAAAAAUUUCUUUAUCACACACAAAAUCUCAAAUUAUAAUAAAACCCCUUAAAACUUUUUCUUUUUGCAAAAGAUGUUUUUACCUUGAACUUUAGAAAUUCAUAUCUCUUGAUCCAAAUAUUCAAUUUUUCUAAAAUUUCUAUCUUUAAGCUUUACUACAAAAAAAUGAACUAUAAAUCUAUUACCAAUCUUUUGGCAUCUUUGAAACCCUACCAAGUACUCUAAAUCCUAAUCUGUAAGCAUCUAAAAACUAUUUUCUUUAUAUCUCAAAAAUCCAAAAUCCAAAUGCUACAAAAUUUAUAUAUAAAAUUUAUUUAUAUAAUUACACACAUUGUAGAAAGUUUUUAGCCAAAAUUUUAUCAAAUUUCUUAAGAUAUAGGUCAAAAUACAACCACUAGUAAUUUGGGUCACUUACUACUUCUUAGAUUCUAUGCACUCACUUCAACUUCCAAUAUCUCCUUCAUCCAAGCUUUGAAUUCAUCAAAAAAUAUAUGUAAAGUAUAGCCAAAAAAGUAGUUUCUUCAAUUCCAAUUAUUGAACCUUUGUUGCUUUCUAUGAGAGUGCAUUACAUCCAAAAGAGUGGUAGUAGAUACAAAAUCAAUGUCUUAACUUUGAGUGUCCAUAUUCUUUCAUAUAAACUCCAAAUUACACAAUAUUUGUACUAAAAUCAUAGCCAAAAAUCUCAACUUAUGAAUCCUAGCCUCCAAAAGCUCGAAUGACUUGAAAGUAUAAUCCUAAUUCCUAGUAAGGCCUCAAACAGCCUCCUUAAAGUCCAUUGGGCAUGAUUUUUAGCCAUUAGGAAUAGAAAUUUUCAUCAUCUAUCUCCAUUCAUCCAUAUGGAUGCCAUAAACUCUCUUUUUGCUACCAAAAUCCCUCUCUAACUCUUUUCUUUACAAGUUUUAUACAAUAUAUGUUCUAAAUAUCAUAUAAAAGAAACAAAAUAAGACUUUAAGGCUCACCAAUAUCUAAUAAAGGUGACUUUAAAUAUUUAAAAGUUACUACUAAUAAGAUCGACUUCAAAAGUCACUAUCAAAAGAAAAUAAAUUUAUAUAAAUUCUAAUAGAAGUCCUUUUAAAUAACCUCUUUUUGGAAUAGUAAUCUAUCUACAUCCUAUAAUCAACAAAAAUCCACUUAUAUAGCUUUCACCAUGUUUAAUAUAUUGUAUAUUAAAUAUAUAAACACAUUAUUUUCACAUGGUAGCCAAACCACAACACGAAAAUAAUCCCUAUUGUGGCUAGAUGCCCUAAUUUUCCUACAAUACUUUUGAUGAUGUGGCUGCACUCUUCAUUUGAUAUAUAUGCUAGUAUUUCUCUGAACAAUUUUUAACCUUAUGGCUAGGUUUUUUACAAUAUAAGGAUAGGCUAAAUUUCCUUCGAUGCUUCUUUUCUUGUUCAAAAAGAGAUUUGAAGCAAAUUGUAUCAAUCUACAUAUCUUUUGCUUCCAAAUGCUCAUUAAAAUUCGAUGGUGAAGAAGCUGUAAAAUAAUUGGUAUAUACAUGUGGCAUAAUUGAAGAAUGUUUAUCUUGUUGUUGUUGAAAUAAAUGGUUAUUACACUUUACAACUUGACUAAUGGCAUAAUUGAGUGUUUGAGGGUCUUGCAUAGACAAUAAUAAGUCCUUGACAUCAUCUCUUAAUUUCUAAUGAAAUUGACUCAUCAACGCAUCUUCUCCCCAAUUUAUAUCACAUGCUAAUUGUCAAAAAUCCGAGGCAUAUAUUAAUGCAGAAUACAUUUUUUUAUCAAAGGCUUUGAAUUAUAAUUAUUGAAGAAUGAAUCUUAUCAUUUUUACUAAAUGCUUCUACAAAUUUUGCCAAAAAUGCUUCGAAAUUGUGCAAUAUAGGGAAAUUCUUUUUAAAUAAUAGAACAAAUGAAGAUAAAGCUUGACUUGAGAAUAAGGUUCCAAUCAAACCAACAUGGGAUAUUUUAGUAGAAUAUUGUUGAAGUUGAAGUAAGGUGAUUAGUCGUACUUGGUUUACAAAGUGAAGAAAUUAUCAAUAGGUGCCAUCGAACAUCUUUAGAAGGGUGAUCCUUGAUUCUUUUAUUGUUAUUGUUGUCAAAUCAUUGUCUUGAGUGGAUGCACCUCCCAUGUUUGUUGAAGCAGAUAUAGUCGUUUAAGAAUUUGGAACCUCUAUUGCUAUUUGAUGUAGUGGUUGAAGCACUUCGGCUCCUUGAUCAUUAUGUAUGGUCAUAUAUAAUUCUUCAUUCUGCUUUGACAAAGUCUCUAUCUUGAUUUUCAAUGCUUCAAGAGCAUUAAUAAUAGAAUCUAACUUGAUUUCUUUAGAGUUUGUCAUAUUAACUUUUCUACCUUCUUCCAUAGAAAAUUAUAGAAAUAAAUACAUUCAAAAAAAAAAAAAAAAAAAAAAAAAAAAAAAUCUGAUCUAUGGUAUAAAGAAAAAAAUCAAAAGAAUAUUAAAAAUAUAUAUAUAUAUAUAUAUAUAUAUUAAUCUAAAGGAGAGUAAUCAGCAACCUCUAGAAUGCUAUAAUACUUCUAAGAAGAUGGAUAAUCUACUCUCUAUUAAGAAAGAUCAAGCUUCUAAAAUUGUUUUAUGGCAGAUUCAACAAAUUAUUAAGAACCAUAUACUAGAUAAGGAUUCAAGACCAAAAAAUGGAAUUAACUCAAAAUUAGAACAAUAAAUUGAUAUAAGGCAAGAAGAUCCUACCUAGACUAUAAGAAAUGAGUUGUCAAGACUGAGGAUCCCCUCAACCUCAACUUUUAUAUUUACUAUAUCUUAAGAAGUUUCUUGAAAAAUUUCUAUAAGGCUUGGAAACAAAGUAAGCAUAAGAUCCUUCUUUGAUAACUUCCUAAAUCAUCUAAAGUGUCUUAAAACCUUCUAGUAUCUCCCAUGACCUUCUAGAAUUUUUUUAGAAUCUAUUGGAACUUUUUAAAAUAUUCUUAGAAGAUUCAAAAACCUUCUAAAAUCUAUAAGAACUUUUUUAGAACCUUCUCAAACCUUCUUCAAUUGUAUGUCUAUAACAAUCUUAUCAAGCUUGAGCAACCACUCAAAUCAAGUAUUGUCAAAGAAGAAAGAUUUUUUAAUUCAUUUCAUAAACUUUUCAAGCUUGAGCAACCACUCAAAUUAAGUAUUGUCAAAGAAGAAAGAUUUGUUAAUUCAUUUGGCAAGCUUGUCAAAUUUGAGCAACCACUCAAAUUAACUGUUAUUAAAGAAGGAAGAUUUGCUAAUUUAUUUGAUAAGCUUAUCAAGCUUGAGCAACCAUGCAUAUAAAGUAUUGUCAAAGAAGAAAGAUUUUUCAUUUCAUUUGGCAUGCUAGUCAAGCUUAAGCAACCACUUAAAUUAAGUGUUGUCAAAGAAGAAAGAUUUAUUAACUCAUUUGGCAGGUUUCUCAAAUUUGAGCAAUCAUUUCAAUAAAGUGUUGUCAAAGAAGAAAGAUUUGUCAAUUCAUUUAGCAAGCUUGCCAAAUUUGAAAAACCACUAAAAUUAAGUAUUUUUAAAGAAGAAAGAUUUUCCAAUUCAUUUGGCAAGCUUAUCAAGUAUGAAAAACCAUUCAAAUCAAGUUCUAUCAAAAAAGAAAGAUUUGUCAAUUUAUUUGGCAAGCUUGUCAAGCUUGAGUAACUACUCAAAUAAAGUAUUGUUAAAGAAGAAAGAUUUUCCAAUUAAUUUGGUAAGCUUGUCAAGGUUGAGUAAUCAUUAAAAUCAAGUUCUUUCAAACAAGAAAGAUUUUUUGAUUUAUCUGGCAAGCUUAUGAAGCUUGAGCAAUUACUCAAAUCAAGUGUUAUCAAAAAAGAAAGAUUUGCCAGUUCAUUUAGUAAGCUUAUCAAGCUUGAGCAACCACUUAAAUUAAGUUCUAUCAAAGAAGAAAGAUUUUUUAAUUCAUUUUGCAAGCUUCUCAAGCUUGAGCAACCACUCAAAUAAAGUGUUAUCAAAAAAGAAAAAUUUAAAAAUUCAUUUCAAAAGCUUAUCAAGCUUGAUCAACCAUUCAAAUAAAGUAUUGUAAAAGAAGAAAGAUUUAUCAAUUCAUUUGACAAGCUUGUCAAAUUUCAACAACCACUCAAAUAAAGUGUUGUCAAAGAAGAAAGAUUUACCAAUUCAUUUGGCAAGCUUAUCAAGCUUCAGCAAUCACUCAAAUUAAGUCUUUUUAAAGGAGAAAGAUUUACUAAGUUAUUUGGCAAGCUUAUUAAGCUUGAAUAAUUUUUUAAAUCAAUUUUUCUUAAGGAAGAGAGAUUUGCUAAUUCAUUUGGCAAGUUGAUCAAACUUAAGUAAUUAUUUAAAUAAAGUUCUUUUAAAGAAGAAAGAUUUACUAAUUCAUUUGGCAAGCUUAUCAAGCUUGAGUAUCCACUCAUAUCAAGAGUUUUAAGAAAAUUUAAACUUGUCUAUUUUGUUAAUAAUAUAUUUAAAGUUUUGUUAUUAAGUAAUCUUAUGUUUGUUAAAUUUUUAACAUUUUUAAAGUUUUUUUGUACUACAUUGAGUUCAAUAGAUCCAUCUAAAUCAAGUCUGAUUAAUAUACUAGUUAUAAUCAAUGUUCUAAGUAGUGGAUCACCAAAAAUAAAUCCUAUUAGAUUCAAUAUUGUCAAUUCUUCAAAUACUUUCUAAAACUCUUUGUUGCAUAUUGCAGAGGGCAGUUUUAUUUUGUUGUUAUGAAACCUACAGAGCUGGUGAUAAUGAUUAUUUUUUAGUAACAAAAAUUUUAACUUAUUUGCAUUUUUUAUCAAUAAUAUAAUUAUUUCAAAGACAUCUUUAUUUUGCUUUGCAUCAAUCUUAUAUAUAAGAAUUUGUAAAGAGUAAAAGUGUAAUCUUUUUAUAAUAAAUCGUCUCAAGAUAUCUUUUAUAUUAUAAUUAAGAAUUAUGCCUUCCAACUAAUCAACAUAACAAGAGAAUAAUUAGAAAUUACAAUCUAUAGCUUUAUUAAGUAUUUAAACCAUAUAAAAAUUUCUAAAUAUUUCAUAUUGCAACACUUAAGUAAUGUAAUAUUUUUCUUUAUAAAAAUUAAAAUAUCUUGGAUUCUAUUUUCCUUCAAUAUUUAAUUUAUGCCAAUAAUUGUAUUCAAGUUAUUCUACCACUAUUUGAAAGUCUUACCUUUGUUGUUAUUCCAUGCAUUGGCACCAUAUUUGCAUUCCAAAUUCGUGUGUCUUUAUAUUCUUUUUCUUCUUCAACAAUCUUUUAUCGUAUAUUUUGUAAUUGAUCAUGCACUUUUAUUAUUCUAUCUUUUUUCUAUUUUUAUCAUUGAUUGAUGAAUCAACAUAUCCAAUAUAAUACUUGUAUCUUACUCUUCAAUUCUACUUUUCUUAUUGGUCUAUAUUUGUAUUAUAGUCUCUUUUAUUAUACCACUCGAUUUUACAUUGUUACAAAAGAAGCAACAUAUGUCAAAAAUCAUAUUCUUUUCUUCAACUUUUAAGGCAUCAAAACUCAUUGAUUUGACUCUUAUUCUUCACAUCAUCGAAGACUAGCAUGAAUUUUUUACUCAUUAAUAUUUCUUUUAUCAUAUCUUGUGCUUCUUCUAAAUUCUUUGGUUUUAAUUCAAAGUUUAAUUAAUUCAAAACUUUAAAAAUUAUUGAAAGACUAUUAUCCUUCUUUUGAAUACUUUCAACAAAACAUGAUACAUUGUCUAUAUGUUGCAUGGUAUCAAACAUAAACUUUGCUAAUGUAGUCUUUACAAUUCCACCUAUACCAACAAAAGACAAUACAUUUAUUCCACUCUUGCAUAAUUAUUUGAUGUUUGACAAAUGUUGUUCUAUACCCAUUAUAUUGUUCUUACAAUCAUGUCCCUAUUAAAUAAUCAAAUUAUAAUAUUAAAUAAAUAUAUAAUUCAUAUCAUAGUCUCUAUAAAAAUAAUCUAAUCACAUAUUCAUAUUUUGAUAAAAACAACUUUAUUAAAUUAUACACAUUUGAAUGUAUAGAUCUUAAAAUCAAAUAAACCAAUGAAACAUUUAUAUCACACCAAAUCUCAAAUAUAAAUUUUACCAAUGUAUCAUCAACAUGAACAACUUUUGAUUUAUUCCUUUCAUGAUCUUUUUUCUUAAAUGCUCCAAAAUGAGGUGUUUUGGCUACAUCAAUUUCUACCAAGUAUUUUUUCUUCAAUAUUGUAAGUCUUUUAUAAAUGUUUUCAAUAUUAGGUCUUUUAGAAAGAUUCAAAGAAUAUUUAGUAACAUUAUUCAAUCAAUUUACUCAAAUCAUCACAAUUUGAAUGUAAUUUUGAUCUUUCACCUUUUUCAAUCUUUUUCAAUAAUUCUUUUUAAAAUUGAUACCAUCAAAUAGAUCUUCACCUAAAUCAACUUUAAAACAUGUUAUUGCAAAAGAAUACACAUCUGCUUCAAAAGCUUACAUCUUUGUUGAUUUUAUUGUACUUUUUAAUAUCUUUGAAGCUAAGUAACUUAAAUUUUUAUAUAUGUAUGUAUUUUCUUUAAAUUUUGGAUUCCUACCCACAUUAAUCUUUAAACAACCAAAAUCAACCAACUUCAUAAUAGCAUAAUGAAAACCAUUAUUAGAUUUAUCAUUAUUUAUAAUAUUAAAUAGUAUAUUAUCCGGCUUUAAAUCUUGAUGUACAAUUUGUAUGUCAUGUAAAUAACACAUUCCUUUUGUAAUUUGAUAAAUAACAUCAAUAAGAAAGUAGUAUGGCAUUGCUCUUUUUUCCUCCAAUACAUUGCUCAAACUUGUUUGUAUCAAUUCCAUCACCAAGUAUACUUUUUUUUCUUGAGUUAUUCAUUAUUGAAGACUCUCUAUUCUCAUUUGUAUUACUUUUGGUAGUAUAAUAAUAUUUGAUCAAGUUUGGAUGGCUUGUGAUAGUGAAAAUAUCCACUUCUUUUAUAAACAUAUCAUUCCAAGUAGCAUCCAUUAUUUUUGUUGCAAUUGCAAGUCCAACCCUCUCUGAUUCAUAAACUGUUUCCAAAAGCACCUUCAUUUAUAAUUCUUCAAAGUUCUAAACUUUUGAUAUUACUUGAUACUUCCAAAAAAUCCAUCUCUCCAUCUUCUAUAUACCACAAGUUUAUUAAUCUUGUUGAUAGAUAGUUUGUCAAUUCACGAUCUUUAAAUCAAACAUCUUUACUUUUAUAGUCUAAGCAAUUGUAAAGUUCUUCACUAUCAUGUUUAACUUCUUUAUAAGUUGAAAUAUUAAAAAACACAAGUAUAAUGUCUUCCAUCUUUUUUGGACACUUCUUUAAUAAUAGAUCAAUUCCUACAUCAUAACAAGUCUUCAAGUCCCAUAAUAACUUUUUAAAUAUUUCUUUUUUUUCCAUUUGAAAGAUACUUACUUCAUACCAUUGUUCUUAUGAACAAGCUUUUAUCAACUUGUAUAUUCUCAAUGUUGUAUAUUAAAAUUCACAAAAUAAAAUUUUAUACUCACUUCUUCCAGUGCAAAAAGCUCUCAAGACUUCAAAUAAUUUGAUAAUAUGACCAAGUGGUUGGUAAAUAUUUACACAUUGUUUUUUAUGCAAUACAACUUUAGUCUUCAAUAACACCUCCAUUUCUUGAUUGUAAUUAUAGCAUUGAGUGAGCACAUCUCUAAUAUCAACUUUUCUUGAUUUGAACACAACUCUAAUAUCUUCCACAUACUUCUUAUAAAAUUCCAUAGCAAGUGCAAAUUCCAAUGUACAACAACCAAAUAAAAACCUUCACAUUACUAAGACAUGCUUCAUAAACAUCUUAACAAGAUAGACUAUGGCAAAUAUUUUUAAAAAAAUAUAUAAUUCACUUUCAAUCACAUGAAUAAAAUCUUAGUAAAUAUUUUAUAAUAUUUCAAUAAAUUUUGAUCACCAAAAAAUUUAACGUAAUAAAGAUGUCACUAAUAAUAUUUGUGUAGACUAAAUUAAUCUCUAAUUACAUUUGUCAUUCUUUUUUAUAACUUUUUAUUAUCUCUUAAUAUUUUCUAUAAAAUAAGUAUUUCUCUAUAUAUAUAUAUAUAUAUAUAUAUAUAUAUAAUAAAUAAACAUUCAUCUCAUAAUCUAUACAAAAUAAAUAUCAAUGAUGUACAUACCUCAAAAUAAAAUUAGCAAUUGAUUCUUGAGUACACUCCUAUACUUACUCAUGCAACCAUAGAUUCUUGAAAUGUUCUUUGAUUGCCACAAAACCUUCACACAAAGACAAUAUAUAUUUUGACAAAAUUGAUUAAUAUGUAAACUAUUAUACAUACUUCAUACAAACAAAAUUGAUUCAUAUCUUUGAUAAACAUUAAACUAGAUCAUUAAAGUAGAUCAACAUGCCAUCCAUCUUUUAAUAAUUAUCUAAUAACACUAAUUCUUGAUAUUUUAUUAUAAAUAUGAUAUGCCAUGACAUUACUCUAUUUAUAAUGAUAUCUAAUCUUAUUAAGUUUAUAAGCUUUUUUUCUCCAAUCCUUUGUGUUUUUUAAAUCACUCAUUAUACAAAUGACAUAAAUUAAAUAAUCAAUGAAUGAAAAGUCCACCCUAUGCAAUAGCUCAAUAGACUCAAUAUCUUUGUAAACAAAAAAGUUUUAAGAUGUUCUCACCAUAUAAUUUGAAAAACUCUUCCAUCCUUUAAAUCAUUCAGAUCCGUUCCUAUCUCACAAUCCAAUGGCACACAAGCCUAGCCAAGAUACAAUUGUGAUAUAUUAUUCAAUGCAUCGUCAUCUUCUUACCAAUCAGACUUUCGUUAGAUUAACAUCAUAACUUAUAGUAUCUACAAUAUUCAAUCUUCUUAAAAAAAUCUAAAACCUCUUGAUUGUUCACAUGCUAUCACAUUAUGUAUUGUCUUGCUUGAGAAUGUACUAGGCAUCUAUCUGUGGAAGGUGGGCUUGUCUUUUACAAACAUCCAAAAAAAAUCCUAAUAUGUUUCAUCCAUAUAAAAAGAAUACAAUCCAAAUUUCAAUUCAAAAGUGCUAAAAAACACUCUUCUUAGUAACCUCAAUCACACAUAAACCUCAAUUACCUUGUUAUUUAUAUAUUUAAGCAAUUUAGAAUUUUCUUGUAAGUCCCAAGUCUAAUCAAUGAGCUUUGACAAGUUCUAACUUCUAAUCUGACUAUCCACUUGAUGUGAAAUUUUUCAUGCAAUUUUCAAUGUAAGUCUUCUACAUGCUUGAGAAUUUUUAGACCAAUCCAAUUUACAGAUUGUGAGAAAACCUCUAAAAACUACUUUGAUAUCACUUAGCUGCCAACUUGAAAGGUGAAGCAAAAGUUCUAGUAGUGAUUUCUCCUUUUCCAACCAUUAACUUUGACUCAAAAUUGGUGUGCACCUUGAUCUUCAAGUCCUUCAAUAUCAUGCCAAAUUUCACCUUGAUCCAACUAGUAGAUCUUCAGAUAUCACAAAAAUCCUAUCCAAUCCCAAACUACCAACUUCUGAUAUGUUCUAGUAUCAAAACCUAAAUAUCUCUCAAUUGCACCGUUAGAUUACUAAAAAAAUUUACAUACAUUUAGAACACCUAAUUCAAAAAAAAACUCUCAAAAUUUGAACUAUAGAUGUGAUAUCAAUUUUAUAAACUAGUUGAGGGUGCUAGCCCUAAUUUUAUUGCAUAAAUCCCAAGUUGCCAAAAUAAACCUUGACUUUCAAGAACAAUUGCUAACUCUUUCCAAAUCCUACCAAAACCAGUUUUAUGUCUUUGCAACAAGCUCUAACCUAGCUCUCAAAUCCUAAUCUCUAAUCUUUAAAUGCCUCCUUAUUUUGCCCUAGGCGGUCGUUUUAGUGACCAAAGAUUAGAUUUCAACCCUGUCUCACAAAUAGUCGACCUCCAAGUAUUAAUCUAGCCUAUCCUAAGGAUUUUUUAGCCCAAUCCUACUCUCAACUUAAUCUUAGUAUUAACUAUAUUAAUUAUUUACCUCUUCUAACUCGAUUUUAUCAAUUUAUGGUCUUUCUAAGGUAGUAAAAGAGUCUCUAUAGCUAGAAGGUAAAAUUACUAACUAACCUUUAACCUACUAACUAUUAAGAUAAGAAAAUAACCUAAGAGGCUUCUAUAAAAACCAUGUUUAGAUAUCUCAAAUUAUUGUUGAACCAAGAUAAUUAGAUAUUAAUUAGAAAUUCAAUUUUGAUUAUAGUUUCAUUAUAUAGUCGUAUUAUAUCACGAUAGUGCUUGCAUAGGAUAUUCCAAAUAUGAGCUUACUAUCAACCCUAUUGUUUGGCUUCUGACCAUCACCUUGAGCACCAUAUUCGAAACACACAGAAAGCCAUCAUAACAAUCUCGGAAUCAAAAACAAAUCCUCAUGACUGCCUACCAUCCACGGCUCCUAGCUCUCACGUUGUUUGCAUGCGGCACAAAGGUGUCAUGACGUCAUGUAUUUAAGGGCAGAUUCGAGAAGAGAGCACACUGCAGCGAGGGUUUUGCUACAAUAGGGCGAAGGGAAGUGUACAAGGGGAAGCAGGAGGCGAAGCUGGAAGGAUUGCUUGAAACCCUGGACAGAAUGAACAGAACAUGGAUGGGUUAUAUAAUCCAAUGGACGAGAAUGAGCCUACUAACAAACAAUAGUGUACCUUACUGUAUUCAGCACUACACACACACCCACACAGGGCUUACAAUAUCUACUCACAUUGGUAUCAGGAGUAAGAUAUAAAACAAAAAAAAAAAA
rnacentral:lncRNA from 1 species